UAGUCAUUUUGUUGAUCCUAAGAUAUCAACAGAGAGGAAAACGUCCAUCGAAUGAUGCUAAUAUGCCACUAGUAGCAACGUGGAGAACAUUUUCAUACCUAGAACUCUUUCGAGCAACAGACGAAUUUAGUGAAAACAAUCUAAUCGGCAAAGGGGGUUUUGGCUCUGUUUAUAAGGCAAGACUUGGGGACAGGAUGGAGGUUGCAGUGAAAGUUUUCAAUUUGCAAUGUGGAAGAGCGUUUGAGAGUUUUGAUGUUGAAUGUGAAAUGAUGAAAAAUAUUCGCCAUCGAAACCUUAUCAAAGUUAUUAGCAGUUGUUCAAAUGAAGAGUUUAAAGCAUUAGUAUUAGAAUACAUGCCUCAUGGAAGUUUGGAGAAGUAUUUGUAUUCAAGUAACUGCAUUUUGGAUAUUUUUCAAAGAUUGAACAUAAUGAUAGAUGUUGCAUCAGCUUUGGAAUAUCUGCACUUUGGUUAUUCAGCUCCAAUAAUUCAUUGUGACUUAAAGCCCAGCAAUGUAUUAUUAGACAAUAAUAUGGUUGCUCAUUUGAGUGAUUUUGGCAUCGCAAAAUUGUUAAUUGGAGAAUAUCAAUCUAUGACUCAAACACAAACACUUGCCACAAUAGGCUAUAUGGCACCAGGUUUGUCAAUAUAAAAAUUUUCUAUUUCUUGUAAACUUCCUAAUAAGUUAUUUAUGUUUCACGAUCUUCAUUAGAUGAGGAAAUUCUUAUUAAUGAUAUAUCUUACUAUGUAACUAUUGCAAUUCAUAGAGUAUGGAAGAGAAGGACGAGUAUCCGCAAAUGGAGAUGUUUAUAGUUUCGGGAUUAUGUUAAUGGAAACUUUUACUGGGAAGAAACCCACAGAUGAAAUUUUUAAUGGAGAAAUGACAUUAAAGCAUUGGGUUAAUGAUUGGCUACUCAUUUCCACUAUGGAAGUUGUUGAUGCUAAUUUACUAAGUCAGGAGGACAUACAUUUUGUCGCAAAAGAGCAAUGUGUGUCAUUUGUCUUCAAUUUGGCUAUGGCGUGCACUGUGGAAUCUCCUGAGCAGAGAAUCAAUGCAAAAGAAAUUGUUAAAAAGCUCUUAAAAAUUAGAGACUCAUUACUUAGAAAUGUUGGAGGCAGAUGUAUAAGACAAUCAAAUUUAAAUUGAUUCUGCCCCUCCAUUACUUGCUAUCCUUUUCAGAGACUUGAACGGUUAUCCUUCAUACCAGUUUUGUUAAUAUGUUUUGUUGUUGUUCUUACUCAUGUUUGUUUCUCUAUUUCUUUAAUUUGCAUGCAUGUAUUUUUCGUUCUCUUUUAUGUUUUUGUUGGUUUGUAUGUAGUUUGCUUUUAGGGGUAAGGUUGAUUAUGUCCUCCCCUAAUUAGACGUAUCUUUUUUAUGUUUAUUCAAUAAAGCUUCUAUAAUACUAUCAAGGUUCAUCAAAAGAAAAUUUUUAAUUAAUUUUCUUUUCUUUGACAGGUGAUGAAAUUCUAAUCUUCAUAGUGAAUAACUUCAAUAAUAGAGUGUAAGAGUAUUAGUAGUUAUGGUUGUUUUUUGAACCUGGAGUCAAGAGCAAUUUAACAGCAACAAACAAGUCUCUUGUAUUGUAGGCAAAAUUCUUUUCAUUAAUCUUAUUUGUCUACAUGUUCUCCUAUUUUCUCCAUUAAUCUUCGCUCAAGGUUUCAUGCUUCCUCUUUGAUAAAGGAAAAUAUUACUUGCGAAUAUUUCAAUUUGACAUAAGAGACUGUUUUGCCAACCAUUUGAUAAAAUGGAUAUGAGUGGAGCUUUCAAUCAUUACCUCCACCAAAAUACUUACAACGCCAGUUUUAAAUUUUAUUUUUUAAAAUACAUUCAGUUUAAUUUACAAAAAAUAAAUCCAUUUGUUAAAAUUAAUUUUUUUCUCAGAAAUUUCAACCUAAAAAUAUAUUUCUUUUAAAUUUUUAAUUAUAAAAUACAUACAAGUUCUAAACUAUUAUAUUAUUUUCUUCUUAUUAUAUAGUUUAUAUCUCCAUAACUCUAAACUCCUAUAAUUUUUUUUAAAAUGUGUUUAAUUUAAAAUAUAAAUAUAAAAUAUAAAAUGGAGUGGGUAUAAAAAAACUUGUUAAAAGAAUAAUUCAUUUAAGUAUUUAACUGAAUUGAAAUUAAAAUAAGAAAUAAAUUAAUUUAUUUUUUAUUAGUUAAGUAAUUUUCAAUUGAAAAAGAGCUGUAUGAGUAAUAUUAUUGAAAUAUGAUUAAAAUUCUUAUGAAUUAAAUAUUUUCGUAUAAAUACUAGUGAUGAUUACAGAGAAAGGGCGAGGAACCAAAGAAAACUUGAAUAUAAAUACGUCAGGUAAUGUGGCUUUUAUUUGGAAUGAAGAAGCCAAUACUUGGACCGAGUUUAGCAUCACUGAUUUUUAUAAUUUUCAGGACUAAGUAAAUUAUCUCAAUUUUAAAAAAAUAUAAUUACAAUUAUUGAUCGAACACCACUAAUUCCAACAAUUUAUCCAAAAAUAUCUUCGACUUUCAAGGAAUUAAUGUAGAACGAAUGGCCAAGUUUUUCAACUUUUUAGAUAUUUAAUAUAUGUCAUGUUUUAACUUAGUACGAGAAGAAAAUUAUAGAAUAUUUUUUUUUUGAAUUAGUGGAAUUAUUUUACAAUAAAACUAUCACAAUCACACUUAAAAAUAUUCUUUAAAUUUUCACUAUUUCUACUGUUAUUCUUUAAACUAUUUUCUAAACAAAGCAUGGAGGGUCACUUAUCUAAAUAUGUUUUUUGUGCUUUCACUUCACUUGAUUCAUCUUGUCCCUCUUUUAUAGCUUCUAUUAAAAAAAAAAAUACGGUCAACAGUACACACGGUUUGUACACGGUGAACAGUAAAGCGAUUUGAACAGUAACGCAAUUUGAACAGUAAUGAGGUUUGAAUAGUAACACGAUUUGAACAAUGCUAUACGGUUGGCUAUAAAUAGAGAUAAGAGUUUAGAGCUUGAUGCUUCCCAAUUUGAGAGAAGUAGAGAGCAUUGUAAGUGAGCUCUUUGAGAAAUUUGAGAGAGCUUCCAUUUGAGUGUUCUAGUGAGGUUUCAUUUAGGUGUAUUGGGGUUGUAGGUUUUGUGAGUUUUUCCCACUUUGUAAAUUCCCAUUUGUUAGUGAAAUUAUCUUCCAGUCUUUGCCCGUGGACGUAGGCAUUAUGCAGAACCACGUAAAUUAUUGUGUCCUAUUUUCUUUGCAUUUGUUUACACCAUAUUUAUAUUUCUCCAAAAGUCACAGUUACCAAAAUAUUGGUAAUUGCUCAACCCCACGCUUCCGUAACAAUUGGUAUCAGAGCCGAAGGUUCAUGUUUGGGGCAUACGACUGUUCACGUAUAAGGAAUUAUUCACAGAUAUAGUAUUGUUCAAGUAUAUGAAGAAAAGCCUUGAAAAUAGGCUUUAUAUGAAGAAGAAACUCUUUCGAUUCACAUAUGCACUUGGCAUGUCAAUGAAUGACCAUGUAAACUCAUUCAAUAAGAUAUUAGCAUAUUUGCUAAAUCUGGAUGAGAGAUUUGAAGAUGAAGAUAAGGCACUGUUGUUGUUAAAUUCCCUACCUGAUGAAUAUGAUCAUCUCACCACCACUUUACUUCAUGGAAAGGACAGUGUCACAUUUGAUGUUGUAUGCAGUGCAUUGUACAACUCUGAGACAAGAAAGAAAGACAGAAAGGAUCACAGAGAUACAGUUGCAAAAGCAUUGACAGCGAAAGGUCGUUCACAAAGCCGUAAACCUAGAAAAAGAAGCAAGUCUAAAGGGAGGCCUGCUAAAGAUGAAUGUGCUUUUUGUUGCGAGAAAGAGCAUUGGAAAAAGAAUUGUCCUAAGUUACAAAAGGUCAAGGCUAAUUCCGAUGCAUGUGUAGUAGAGCAUGGUGAAGAUUCAGACUUUAGUCUAGUUGGCAUGACGUUGAUAUGUCAUUCAAAUGAGUGGAUUUUGGAUUCUGGUUGUACCUAUCAUAUGUGUCCUAACGAGGGCUGGUUUCUAACUUCAAAGAGUUGGACGGUGGAGUUGUUUUUACGGGCAAUGACAAUGCUUGUAAAACCAUGGGAAUAGAUACAAUCCAAUUAAAGAAUUAUGAUGGUUCAAUCCAAGUCUUGACGGAUGUUCGCUACGUACCAAGUUUGAAUAAAAAUCUUAUCUCAUUAGGAGUCCUAGAAUCUAAAGGGCUCACAAUUACUUUGAGCGAUGGAUUGUUGAAGGUAGUAGCUAGUGCACUGACAGUGAUGAAAGGCACAAGAAGAAAUAACUUGUACUAUUUUCAAGGGAGUAUAGUUAUUGGAUCAGCAUCAACAGUUUCUGGAAAAGAUGCAUAUUCAGAAGCAACCAAGUUAUGGCAUAUGCGUUUGGGACAUGUUGGUGAAAAAGCUUUGCAGACUCUGGUGAAGCAAGGCUUAUUGAAAGGUGCAAAUUCUUGCAAAUUGAAAUUUUGUGAACAUUGUGUUCUAGGCAAGCAGACAAGGGAAAAGUUUGGUUCGGUAAUUCAUGAUAUAAAAAGAAUUCUGAACUAUGUUGACAGUGAUGUAUGUGGACCUACCAAAACAGCUUCUUUAGGAGGUAUGCAUUAUUUUGUUACUUUUGUUGAUGAUUAUUCAAGAAAAUGUGGGUGUAUUUGAUGAAGAAUAAGAAUGAAGUUUUGGGCAUAUUUCUAAAAUGAAAGAAUAUGAUCGAGACUCAGACUGGUCGAAAGGUCAAAAGACUUCGGUCAGAUAAUGGUGGUGAGUACAAGAAUGAUCAAUUUCUACAAAUAUGCCAAGAUGAGGGCAUUGUGCGACACUUUACUGUUCGAGAUACAUCACAACAGAAUGGGGUGGCAGAAAGCAUGAACUGAACUAUACUGGAGAAUGUUCAGUGUACGUUGUCCAAUGCUGGAUUGGGCAAAGAGUUUUGGGCUGAGACAGUUGUAUAUGCGUGCCAUUUGAUCAAUCGUUUGCCAUCAACUGCAAUUGAGGGCAAAACACCCAUAGAGAUGUGGAUUGGUAAUCCUGCUACUGAUUAUGAUUCUUUACAUGUUUUUAGUUCCACUGCUUAUUAUCAUUUAAAGGAAUCUAAGUUAGACCCAAGAGCAAAGAAAGUAUUGUUCGUGGGUAUAACUGGUAGAGUAAAAGGAUACCGUCUUUGGUGUCCUAUUAGGAAAAAUAUUAUCUUCAGCAAAGAUGUAACUUUUACUGAAUCAGCCAUGUUGAAACAAAAAGAUUCUCAAGAAGAUGACAAGACCAGUAGCACUUUGCAGCAGGUGGAGUUUGAAAAAAUUAAAUCCGAUCCAGCUGAUGUCGAUGAGACGAAUAGUGAUUCCCCAUCGACUGAAGAUGAUGAAGAGGUUCUGACCCAGGAACCUUCACAACAACAAGAGUUAAUUGCAUAUAGAAGGUCACACACAGAGAUUUGCAGACCUGCUCGCUUUGUUGAUAUGGUGGCCUAUGCACUUCCAAUUAUAGAUGAUGAUGUUCCUUCCACUUACAGAGAAGCAGUAAGUAACCUAGAAAGUAUACAGUGGAAGAAAGCAAUGAAUGAAGAAAUGCAGUCUCUUUACAAAAAUGAAACUUGGGAGUUAGAUGCACUGCCCAAGGAAAAGAAGGCAAUUGGGUGCAAAUGGGUAUAUGCGAAAAAGGAAGGAUUUCCUUGUAAAAAUGAAAUUCGAUACAAGGCUAGAUUGGUAGCGAAUGGUUAUGCUCAGAAGGAAGGAAUAAACUACAAUGAAGUAUUUUCUCUAGUUGUGAAACACUCGUUUAUUUGAAUUUUGGUAGCCAUGGUUGCGUAAUUUGAUCUUGAACUAGUUCAGCUUGAUGUAAUAACUACAUUUUUACAGGGUGAUUUGGAAGAGAAAAUUUACAUGACUCAGCCAGAUGGAUUCAAGGUUGCUGGAAAAGAAAAUUGGGUUUGCAAAUUAACCAAGUUAGUGGCAGCAAUCAAGUUUGAGCAUUGUCUAAACUUAACCAAUAUCUUAUAAGUUUGAAAGCAGACGGAGAAGGCAGAGACUGGAGGAUGGUUUGUUGAUAGUCGGCUCAGAUUUUAAAAAAAUUUCGCCGAGGUAGAGAAUUGUUAAAAAUAAAAAAUAAAAAAAAUACAAUCAACAGUACACACAGUUUGUACACGGUGAACAGUAACGCGGUUUGAAUAGUUUUUUUUUUUAAAUUAGUGGAAUUAUUUUACAAUAAAACUAUCACAAUCACACUUAAAAAUAUUCUUUAAAUUUUCACUAUUUCUACUAUUAUUCUUUAAACUCUUUUAUGAAUAGAGCAUGGAGGGUCACUUAUCUAAAUAUGUUUUAUACGCUUUCACUUCACUUGAUUCAUCUUGUCCCUCUUUUAUAGCUUCUGUUAAAAAUAAAAAAUAAAAAAAAUAGGGUCAACAGUGAAGGACAACAUUUGUCCAUGAGGUUCCUAAUAACGCAACUUUUGCACAGUAAAAUUAAAACAGAUGGCGGAAGCUCUAGAAACCUCAGAUCGACUUCAUUCAAAAACGAAAAUCAAGAGGAAAGAUUGAAGUUUAAUUAACUCACUUGUAGUUUAAAAAAAGACUUCGUGAAGUAGGAGAAAAUGACUGAAAACAGUAAGCUACGAACACUGUCCAGAAAAUAGAGCUCUGCACGAACAGCUUCUGUUUUGCCACGAUCUGAGAUCCUUUAAGCACCCCAAUUGUGAUGCCUCUAGUCAUUCCACACAUAGAAAUGUUCUAGGAGUUCAUAGGAUUUGGAAUCUCGAAAUUUCGUUUAGAAAUGAGAGAGAUAAUGAAGAAACAUGAAUGCUAGUUCAUGAUGAUUCAUUCCACCAAAUAAAGCCACCAUUAUCUCCAAUAAUGGCACCAAACAUUAUCAUGUGCUAGACCCACCCACUUAGCCAUUAUUUAUUGAAAGUGAUCUUAUCAUUUCAAUAUUUUAUUUAAUCAAAUAAAUAAAUAGCUAAAUUAAUUAAUUUCGUAAUUAAUUAAUUAAUCUCAUUUUGAUCAAAUCAAAUGGUUGAAUGUGGGCUUCUUUUGUGACAUGUUCUAAUGCUUUCUCUUAAUCCAUAUUAGAUCCAAUAAAAGCCCAAAAUUCUAAACCCAAAAUUGGUCUAGAAGUCCAUAAUCAUAUAUGAACCAGAACAUCAUUUUACGUGCUCGAUAUUACAUAAUGUUUAAUUGAGGAUUUAUGAAAUUUAUUUUGUUCCUUAAACUAUUUAUGGAACAUCUAAAUUUCUAUCUUAAAUCAUAUUUAAGAUAUAUUUAUAUAUAUAUUCAUUCUCAAUGAAUUAUAAUAUAAAUAUUAAUUUUCCUAAAAUUAGGAAAUUUAACUUCUCAUUUUCUAGUAACUCCUUUUUCAUUUCUAUUUGGUGUGUGACCUUUUAGGUUCUUAGUUAUAAGGUAGUAGAACUAUUUUAAUGAUAACUCUUUAUUCAUUAAAUGAUGCUAAACUCUUUAGUCAUCAAUUAGAAAUUUUCUAAUGACCUUAAGAUGCAUUGCUAAUACGCUUUACCAAUAUUAAUCUUAAGGUUUCUACAAGUCAUGAGUGACACCUAGCAGUAUAUCACAACUAUCCAAAUAACAAGAAUUGUUGGAUCUAUAGAACCUAUUCCAUUGUAUCUCUAUGUCUUGGUCUCUUCAUCAUCCAUGUCCAAAGAAAAACACGGCAUAUGGUUUAUUAUGUUAAGCAGUUAUGCUUUAUCUCAAAAUAAAUCUAAAUGAACUUGGCAUGAAAAUAUAAUUUGAACUCCUUCAAAUAUAUUUCACCUUGGCCAAGGAUUUCUCAUGCCAAUUCAUAUUAUCUCAUAGGGACAUCCUUUUUGUAUAUUACAAAGUGAUGAAUUCCAUAUUGGCCAUACACUUGUCUUCAUACAUAGCCAACCAUGACAGCUAUUGCUAGAUCUCUUCCUUGAUUAGGAAUCAAUCAUUAUGCUUUCACAUAUAAGAGAUGUCUAUGUAUAAGACAUCUGUUAUGCCUCAGGUCUAAAGACCAUUACUAAACAUAGUGUCUAUUACAAUGUAUAAUAAGCCAUUAACACUCAAAACCAUAUGGCUUACUAUAUUUGGUCAAGUUCAGUAAACUCGUUCUCUCAACAAGUACCUAUGUAUUUGACUUGACAUCUCAUGUCAAUGAUAUGAAACUCACCAUCUAUUUUAGUAUCACAUACCAUAAGGAGUCAUAACACAAACUGGUGUUUAUAGGAAUUUAUAAUGUCCAAUCAUAAAUCCACCACUAGGAACUAUUUUAGAAGUAUAGUACAAAGGAUGCACGUUUCAUAUUCUCAACAAACUCGAGAAUGUGUUCCUUAACUAUUUUACUUCUUGGACUAUAUUCAUUAAAUUAAAUUUAUGAAUGUUGAUAACUUUGCCAUUUUAUAAAUAUCAAAAUGCUAUUCAAAUACAAUAAUUCCCUAAACAAACAAACACCAUUCGAUUGGCCUUUAGGGCAUAUUACUAAGAAACAGUACACACGGUUUGUACACAGUGAACAGUAAUGCGGUUUGAAUAGUAACGUGGUUUGAACAGUGCUAUACGGUUGGCUAUAAAUAGAAAUGAGAGUUUAGAGCUUGAUGCAUCCCAAUUUGAGAGAAGUAGAGACCAUUGUAAGUGAUCUCUUUGAGAAAUUUGAGAGAGCUUCCAUUUGAGUGUUCUAGUGAGGUUUCAUUUGGGUGUAUUGGGGUUGUGGGUUUUGUGAGUUUUUUCCACUUUGUAAAUUCCCAUUUGUUAGUGAAAUUAUCUUCCAGUCUUUGCCCGUGGACGUAGGCAUUAUGCAGAACCACGUAAAUUAUUGUGUCCUAUUUUCUUUAUAUUUGUUUACACCACAUUUAUAUUUCUCUAAAAGUCGCAGUUACCAGAAUAUUGGUAAUUGCUCAACCCCGCGCUUCCGCAACAACUUCUAGCUCGUGUAGGCUGAUAGAACCUGCAACUCGUAUUGUACGUUUCUAUUACUUUCUCUUCCAUUUUCCCAACUCCCAAACACCAUCAAUCCUUGAUGUUAUAGAGUAUUAGCUCUCUAUUUCUACAAACAUAGAGCUACUGUUCGUACUUUAGAUCUUCAUAUGGUUGGUUAACUAUUGUUUGAAUAUUAAAAUUAAUUUGUUAAAUAAAUAAAGAAAACAAGAGACAAUUGCCAUAUAUAUUCCAUAUUAAUCAAUCACCGUUCGAUUGUCUCCACUUCCAUUGACUCUAAUGAUUCAUGCUUUCAUGAAGUGAAGCUCUUAACACUCUGUUAUGAUCCGCAAGAGAGAGGAAAAACAUAAUUUUAUUUUUUGAUUCCUGACACGCGCAAAUAGGGAUGGCAACCAAACCCGGACUCGGAUCGGACCCGGACUGAACCCAGAAAAUCUGAUCCGGGUUCAAACCGCGCCGGAAAAAUUUUUAUGUGGAAUCCGGAUAGAUUUUUCAGAACUCGCAUACUUCUGGGUCUGAAUCCGGUUUCAGGUGAACCCGCAAAUCCGGAACCCGAAUCCGGAUAUUAUUUAUUUUAAUAUUAAUUUUUUUAAAAUUAUUAAAUAUAAAUAGAAAAAUUAAAAAAAAAACCCUAGCCCUCUCAAUCUCUCAUUCGUUCAUUCCUCUCUCAAAUCUCAAUCUCUCUCACUCGUUCCUCUCUCGAUCUCUCACUCUCUUCAACUUCUCCUCUCAAUCUCUCAUCUAUUCGACUGUUCCUCUCUCAAUCUCUCUCACCCGUUUCUCACUCAAUCUCUCUCACUCUCUCUUCAACUCUCUUGUAAUUUCUCUUCUUCAAAUCAGAUCCUUCACGGCGUGGCUGUCAUCACCUUCACGGUCUGCCUGUGUUUGUUUCAUCACUCAUCAGCAUCAGCAUCAGCAUCACUCGUCUCAUCUCUCACUCUGUCGCGGCCAGCAAAAGGGGGUGGAUUUCGCGGCUGUGUUCUGUGGCAUGUGGGGGUGGAUUUCGCAGCUUUUGUAUUUGUUUUAGAACCUGGAGUUGAAGUUAUAUGUUUUGUAUUUGAAAUUUUGUUGAACUAAACUAAAGCAAUCUGGAUUCUAGAAGCAAUUUGGUUCUGGUUUGUGUAACUGUGUUCUUUUUUUUUCCCUUUUUUCCAGCAACUAAAAAAUACUAAUUUUUGAAGCGAAUCUUCGACAAUCAAAGAACAGGGUUGUGGAUUUGCUUGUCUCGUAUCCUUUAAUUAUUGUUCGGUUCUGAAAAUAAUUGUAAUUUUAAGGAUUUUCGAUUAUCUGGUUUUUUUUUAAGUGCAAUUUCCCCUAGUUACAGUUUCAGAGUGAAGGGUUAAUUGCAAUUUCGAAUUUUUUUAUAAAAUCUAAAUUAAAAAUGAUUGAUGGACCGUUUUCUUUGGAGAACUCACUGAAGUGCGGAGAGAGAAUGAAAAGUGGGUGCAUGGAGUGUGUGGGAAGGCUUGGGUGUAAUUGAGAUUUUGGUAUGAGAUAAAAUAAUCUAAGAAUAUGGUUGUAAUAAUUUUUCAUACAGUGAAAUUAUUUUAUCUUCUUGUCCUUGACGGCUGUAGCUUUUUACUUUAGAGUUUUUUAAAUAAAUCUUAUUUUGUGUGAUUGGUGUAUUAUCUAUCUUUUUUAUUUAUUUAUUAUGUUUGACAUAUUGCUAGCAAAGGUAUUGGGUGGGAACAAAAAAAUUCCCAACAAUUACCAAUUGUUUUAUAACUUUGUUAUGAACAGAGCAUGAAGGGACUCACUUAUCUAGUAAUUUUUUUUUUUUAUGCUUUCGCUUCAUUUGAUUUCGUCUUGUCCUUCUCCUUUAUAAAAGUUGUAAAUGUUGUAGUAUCGAGCUCAUCACAAAUAUCAUAUUAUGGCUAAGGAAGGAAGACAGUUCAUUGGCUGCACUCAAGUGUAUCAGUGUAUUUGGAUUCUAGACUGUUAGAUGGUUGUUACAGAUGUAAGGCCGUUGCUGUGUAAAGUAUCCCAUGCUGGCAAGUGCGCUAUAACAGAUUGCGGAGCUGGCACUAAUUAUUUUAAACUAAUAUUAGUAAUUGGUCUAGAGUGAUAUGAUUUAUUCUAUUAAUAGCUCAUUUGAGCUUUGAACCGGUAACGUGUAUUGUACUUUUCUGUUACUUCGAAUAAAGACAACCUGUAAGUGUGCUGUAACGUGCAUUGUUCUUUUUUCUUUCACUUUCUCUUCCAUUUUCCCGACUCUCAAACACCGUCAAUCCUUGAUUUUCUAGAGUAUUAGCUGUCUAUUUCUACAAACAUAGAACUGCUGUUUGUUUGUUUCCAGAAACAAUAUGCUCCAUCCCGUGGUCUCUUCAUUUAUUGGCUUGUUACUUGUGAACAGGAGGGCUAAAUAAAGGGCAAAUAAGAUGCUGGGCCAAUAGGCCCGACGUCACAGAUCUUGAAUUGAUUGUCUCUUCUUUUCUCCACAAAUCUUUGCUUAAUUUUUAUGUUCCCUCAACUUUAUUUUCCCCUAUUGUGCUAAAAUUAUUUUUUUUGAUACUCUAUGCAAAAAUUAUGAUAAAAAUGAAUUAGUUUAGAACAUCAAUAAAUUUUGAUUACGCUAUAGAUAAGGACAAUUACACUUACAUCACUCUUAUUUAGUUGAAUUACUAAUAAAAUAAUAAAAUAUGAUUCUUAACCCUUGCAAUUAAAUGCUGGUGUUAUUUGGUUUAGUUAUAACGCCAUGCAACAGGUCGUCUUGGUGGGUUCAAAUUAAUGUACGAUCAUUCUCAAUUUUUAAUAAUUCGUAAUUAAAAAUUCCUAUAUCACAAUUAGAAUUUGCAAACAUGCCAAAGUGAGUUAAAUCAAACCUAUAAAUUCGAGGUCUACCACAUGAUGAAUGCAAUUAAAACAUCCUCACUGGUCGCUAAUUGAUUAGUUGUUAUUUUUUCAAUUUCAUUUUAUAUAUCUUUGAAACUUCUAGUUUCCUAACAUGUUAUUCGCAAUUCGUGUAAAUUAUUAUUUUUUAGAUAUUAGAGCAACAACCAGUAUAAAAAUAAAAUGCACUCUUCUAAUGGAAAUUUUUCUAGAUGCUUCAAUGGCAGAAUCUCAUUGGUCUAUAACUUUCACACCUUAGAUUCAAGAUUCAAUUUCAAACCAACGCCGAACAAACAGUAUAAACCUUAAUAAGUCUGUGGGUGUAGCCCAACAAACUUACUUCCGGCUCACCGAAUAAUCAUCUCUUACGUUACGGCCAUGGGACAUUGGAAUUGGAUCAAACCACCGGAAUGCACAGCAAAAUUAACCCGAAUAAACUAAAUUAGAUCCAACCAAUUGAAUAGGUUUGGUGUCACUCAGAAAACAAAUAAAUAUAUAAAACAACACAAUUAUCACACAGCUAAAUAACACAUUUAACAUCAAUUAUCAUCACUGAAAAGCACUAAUGAUAUUUGAUCUGUCUUUACUCAAACAGUUUCACUGGCACUAUUAUUGUAAUGAUUAUUUAAUGCCGUUCAUUCCAGCUCGGUUUGGCUGUUAACUUUAUUUAGUUAUUUAUGAGGGGAUUCAUUUCUCACCUGAAGCUAGAAAUUUACGGAUCCCUGGUGUUUGUUGAUAGUGCCUUACAUGAUUACAAAAAUGAACAAUUUUUUUUUUUUUUUUUGGGGCCAAUUGCAGUUUUGAUAACAACUAAAAUCUGUGUGGUCCGGUUACCACAAAGCCUUGCCCCAGAUCUCUGCCAUUUUCUCCUCCGCCUCCAUUUGGGGAAAUUACGACUUACUUUUUGCAAGUUUUUCUUGAAAUAUUUAUUUUGAGAAGAAAACCAACAAUACAUUUUAUGAUUUGGGCUGUUUCAAAGAUCUUCGCUUGAUGUCUCUGCUACUGGUUUUCAGCAGAGUGCCCAAAAAUAAUCAGUGCACGCACUGUAGGCUCUAUUAUUAUCAGUAAAAAGCAUUAGUGAUAUUUUGGGAUCGACUUUUUUAUUUGGGAGUGGAAGGAUGCUUGAGAGAGUAGAGUGGUGCAUCUUGUUCAAACAUGCACCGUAGAGAAAUUAGUUUAGGCUCUAACCAUUGUAAUAGUAGAGAAAAAAAAUUAAUUAAGAGUAAUUUUAUGACCUUUUAGAAAUGAGUGAAUUAAAAUAAUAAAUUAUAAUUUGAUAAUUAUCUUAAUUAAAAAAUGGGUGUUGAAAUAAAAUUAGUGAAUUUAAAUAGCCUGCCCAAAAUCCAAACUCGCAUACCAAUAAUUUUCUAAUUUUACAUAAAGUUUUUCUAUAUGUUUGAUAAAAUUUGAUUCUCAAUUGGUCUAAUGGAGAAACAACCAGCCAAAAAAUAAAAUGAAUGCGAUUACAUGGAAAUUUGAAAAGAGCAGUAGAUGACAUUUAUGUGCAAGCAAAAUGCAACAUUGCAUUCUGUUUGUGGGAUCCUGGAAAAAAUAAAAGAAAGAAAACAGAGUAAUAUUUUUCUUUACGCCUGGCAGAUUCUCGUUGGUUCAUUUUUCUUUACGCCUUAGAUUCUAUGAUUCAAUUUCAAUCAAAUACGACAAACAAAAGAAGCCUUUAAGCCUGCAGCUGAAAUAGAUGGUACUUUAAUUUUCAGCUGAACAUAUACAUGGUAAGAUUAUUAUUAUUGAGCUUGAUGAGGCUAUAGAAAAUUCAAUAUCGAGAUCAGAUAAGGGUCCAAUAAAUUAUAAAAAUAUUGCAGCUCAAAGCCCAUAUGAUCAUGGGCCAGGCCACUACUUGCUCAUACUUUGAAUCAAAAUUAGUGACGUUGGAAGCUGAAAGGGGCAAAUGAUGAAAUGGGGUUCAUCAUAUACUAUGCCCAACGGGAUAAGAUCAUCAUUUAAUUGCCUCCUCCUCUUGUCGAUAGAUAUUUGCCGAAUUUUUCUAUUUAAAAAAUAUUAUAUUGGUUAAUAUAAUUAGAAGUUUUACAAAAUAUAAGUAUAAUUUAAAAAAAAAUUAUAUUUGUUAAUCUAAAUUUUCCAUUUGGUGGUUGUGUUUGAAAAAUUUUUUAGGUAUAUUCGGAUAUACUUUCUCAUUAUUUAUUGAUUUUGGACAUUUAGACAUACUAGUAUUCAGUAGUCUUAGGUAAUUAGCUAAGAAGUAUACGUGACAAAGUAUAACACGUGAAAAAAUACACAACAAAAUUAUCAACAAUUUCCCAUUGACUUAGUCAACUCUCCAUUGAUUUCAUUGACUUGGUCAACUUAUGAUCUAACUCAACAACUUGAAAAUUAAAUUAUGCUAGUAAUUCCGUAAAAUUAAAAUUUAUCUCCCAAAAUUGAUAAAUACUAUGUCACUUUGUCAAAUUACUUAGGAUAAAAGUUAUGUGGCUAAAAACUUUUUAAGAUGAGUUGUAUGCUAAUUGAGAAGGACAAGACACAAAAGAAUUCAAUGAAUGCUAUAUCACGCAACAAUACUUGACUUUUUGUCUAAAAAAGGACUAAAGAAACAUGCCAAGCAACAAAUAAAAAGUUGAUAGGCACUAUUUAAAUAGUAUUAAUAUGGCAACAAAAAACAUGCGAGCAAAGUAGACUAUUCCUUUAUUCUAUAAAUAGCUCAUUUGAGCUUAGAACCUUUAAAGUGUGUCGUACGUUUCUCUUACUUCCAAUAAAGAUUUUCUCUAUUCCCUUUUCUUCCACUUUCUCUUCCAUUUUCACGAUCCCCAAACACCAUCAAUCCAUGAUUUUCUAGAGUAUUAGCUGUCUAUUUCUACAAACAUAGAAUUGCUGUUUUAAGAAACAAAGUAGUCUGUCCUGUCACCCAUGAUUGCCUCUUUCUUUUCUCCACAAAUUUUUGGUUAAUUUUUAUGUUCCCUCAACUUUUUUCCCCUUUAGCACCAAAAUUCAUUUUUGAUACUUUAUGCAAAAAUUAUGAUGAAAAUGAGUCACUUUAGAACAUCAAUAAUUUUUUUUUACAUCCAAGAUAACGACAAUUACACUUAGAUCACUCUUACUUAGUUGAAUUAUAUAUGUAAUAAUGUUGCCUUAACAAAAUAUGAUUCUUGAUCGUUGUAAUUACGAGCUGGUAUUCUUUGGUUUUAGUAGUAGGGCUUAUAACGCUGUGCAACAGUUAUUGGUGGGUUCGAAUUAUUAUACGAUCAUUCUAAAUUCUUUACGGUACGUAAUUAAAAAUUCCUAUAUCACAAUUAGAACUUACAAACAAGUCAAAGUGAGUUAAAUCAAACGUAUAAAUUCGAGGUCUAUUACAAACUUCUAAAAAAGAUUUUCUCUGUUCUUUUUUCUUUCACUUUCUCUUCCAUUUUGACAAUCCCCAAACACUGCCAAUCCUUGAUUUUUUUAGUAUUAGCUGUCAAUUUCUACAAACACAGAACUGCUGUUUGUUUGUCUAAUUACUUUCAAGAAACAAAACUGUUUGUCAUGUGGUCUCUUCGUUUAUUGGCUUGUGAGCAAAUAAGAUAUUGGUUUAACAAAAUCUAACCCGUCAGUAUUCCAUAUCACAUGAUUAACGUAUUUAAAAAAUCUUAGCUGUUCCGUUGCUUGUUUUACAAUUCUUUUAUAUAUCUUUGAAACUUUCUGCUUCCUGACACAUCAUAUUGUUCUCAAUUCAUCUAAAUUAUUUUUUUCUUUAAACACUGCAGCAACAACCGGUAUAAAAUAGAAUGAACUCAUUUUUCUCUUAACAAACUUAAAAGGUAUUCCCCAUCCCACGUGUCCCCAAAUCUUCGUAUUUCCAAACAAACCCCUGCCAAAUAGAGAAGAGGAUGGCUUUUAUUGCAAACUGUAUGAGCGUUAUGGCCAUGCAUGGGACAUUGGAUCAAAAUCAAACCAAUGGAUUGUAAAGCAAAAUUACCGAUUAAAAAUUCAACCAAUUGAAUCGGUUUGGUGUCACUUAAAAAAUAAACAAUAUAUAAAACAACACAAUUAUCAUUUUAAUGAGCCACUGUUAAAUUCAUUCAGUCAGUAUUUUUCUUUUCCCAUUUUCAAUGAAUGCUUAAUAUAGAAAACAAUCUGUCCCAUUGAACACUGUUUAAAUCAUUCCCUAAUUUGUUUAACACGCAAAGAAUAUUCUUAUUCGGCUCGGCAGCCAAUCCGUUAAAAUUUGUUAAAAUUUAUUUAAGUGAUGACUGUGAUAUGACUCGAUCAAUCGUUUAAUUUGUAUAAUUUAUAAAAAUUUGAGCUUCAAGUAAUGUAGAUAGAAUGGUUAAUUAUUUUAAUAUUCAGAUAAAUUGAUAUAUGUCAUUAUAUUAUGAGUGGAUGAAAUAUCCAAUAGAAAAAAAAAUGUUUGUAUUCGUCAUUUUUAGUGGGAAUCUAUUUAGUGUAACUUAUCCAUAAAAAUGGUUGCCGACUUAUCUUGUUUCUCAUUUUGUUUAAUUUUCAUAAAUUUGACUCACGAUUAAUUGUGAGUGAAGAUUUUUUAGGAAAAAAAUCUGGUCUUCUAUUUAUUUUGUAGGAUUUAAAAGAUUAAAAAACUUUAAUACAUAUAAUUUUAUGUUCGAAACUAAAUACUCGUAGCAUUGCUGCUUCUAUAAAUAACUCAUUUGCGCUUCCAACUUGUUAUUUGUAUUUUACGUUUUUGUUUCUCUUCAUAACGAUUUUAUUUUUUUUCUUUUUUCCAUUCACUUUUUCUUCCAUUUUCCCGACUCCCAAACACCACUAAUCCUUGAUUUUCUAGAGUAUUAACUGUCCGUUGGGUUAAGGAUCGACAAAAAUGUUAUAACCUAUAAAGCAUGGAUAAUUAAUUAAUGGGAAUGCACCUCUCAUCUUUACCAUUCUCUUUGUCAUUGUCAGAAUUCAGCUGUUUAUUAAUAAAGUGAAUAAAUUUAUCUUUUAAUAAUAUGUUUCUUGGCUGUUUUUUGUGUAUUUUUGUGUGCAAAUAGCAUUAUUCAUUAGUAAUUAGUUUGGAGUAGCUCAUUUUAGCUUAGCUCAUUUUAUGUUUCUGUUAAUCUUUAAUAAAGAUUUUCUCUUUUUUUUUUUUUUUUUUUCCUUUCACUUUCUCUUCCAUUUUCCCCGACUCCCAAACACCACCAAUCCUUGAUUUUCCAGAGUAUUAGCUCUCUAUUUCGACAAACGCAUAACUGUUGUUUGUCUAACUACUUUCAAGAAAUAACGCAGUCUGUGGUUUAUUGACUUGCGAACGGGGCUAAUUAGUCACGGUCCGAUUGUCUGACUUCUCCAUUGACUCGGUCAAUUCACGACCUUGACCUGCACAGUUGAUACAAACGGACUUCUCCAUUUGAGGUGCACAAAACUUUCUUGAGUCAUUUUGUUUGGUGAUGAUGAAUUGGAUGUCAGUUCAUGAGUUUCAUGAUGAAGAGGACCAAAAACAUUAUUUUAUUAUUUAAAGAAGACUAACGAUUAUUUCGAUGGUCAUUUUAUUAUUUUUUUAAAAAUAUCCAAAUGGUGAAAUUUUAAAGAAUUAAGGUGCUUGACUUCUUUACACAGAAUUACAAAGCAAAACAAUUAAGAAAUUAAAUACUCGUCAUCCAAGUGAGAAGAGAUUGGGUUGUUGACACAUUAAAUAAAAGAAAAAUCAAUUAAAAGCACAACAAUUCAAUAAUUUCAUUCUCAAUCAUAUCAAAAAUAAAAUUUACUGUACAUUGUUGCUCGGUUCUGUAAAAAAAAAAAAAUUAUUAGGGAUUUGCAGUUUUUUUUAGUGUAAUUUUCGUUAAUUACAGUUUGGUCUGAAGGGUUAAGCACAUGGAUCAUAAUCAUAUUAUGGCCUAAGGAAGGAGCACAGUAUUGGCUGCACUCAGUUUACAGAAUAUUUUGGGAUUCAAAAAAAUAUGUUUUAUGUAUUAAAAAAGAUUAAAAAAGAGUCUGCUACCUGUAACUAUGUUUUAUGUUUCUAUUACUUUCUAAUAAAGAUUUUCUCUGUUUUUGUUUUUUUUUUUUUUUCCCCUUUUACCUUCUCUUCCAUUUUUUUCCCCUAAGGAAGGAGCACAGUUCAUUGGCUGCACUCAGUUUACAGAAUAUUUUGGGAUUCAAGACUUUAGGUUGUUCCGGAUGCAACUUGCAAAGGCUGUUGCUGUGUAACUGUAUGCCAUGCUGGCAAGUGUGCUAUAACAGAUUGUAAACUAAUUAGUACUGGAAAAUCCUAUUUGCACAAAAAAUUGCACAAAAUAAAGAGAAUGAGAAUACUUGUGCAAAAAAAAUAAGAUUAAUAAAGUGAAUAAAUUUAUCUUUUAAUAAAAUAUUUCUAGUCUUUUAGUGUUUUCGUGUAUUUUUGUGUACGUGCAAAUAACAUUACUCACGAGUAAUUAUGUUUUACGUUUCUAUUAUUUUCUAAUAAAGAUUUUAUCUGUUUUUGUUUUUUUCCCCCUUUUACCUUCUCUUCCAUUUUUCCAACACCCAAACACUACUAAUCCUUGUUUUUGGUUUUUUUUCCCCCUUUGGUCUAACUGCUUUCAUGAAACAACAUACUCUGCGGUUAAAAUUAAUUGAUCAUUUUAUUUGCUGAUAAUGAAUUGGUUGUCAAGUCAUGAGUUUGAUGAUGCACAGGACGAAAAAUGUUAUUUUAUUAUUUAAAAUAUGACUAACAAUUAUGUUGAUGGCCAUUUUAUUAUUUAAAAUAUGCAAAUGGAAUCUUACCGAACUUUAGUGCUUGACUUCUUCAUACAGUGCUUGACUUCUUUGUACAGAAUUAUAAAGUGAAAGAAAUUACGAAAUUAAAUACUUUUCAUGCGAGUGGGGGAGAUUGGGAAGCGAUUACAUUACAUAAAAGAAAAAUAAUAUAAAAGUACAAUAAUAAUCAUCGAUGCAAAAAUUCUGUAAAUUUAUGAAAUAACUAUUGAUUUCACUUUGGUAAUUACUUUUUAAAAGUAACGUAAACAUUUUUAUUUUAUUUGCAUUCGAGCUUUCUUUCUUUUUCGCUGGCCUUUACACUUGACCGUAUUUCAUGGGGCAUAUUCAAUCUGAAUCCUCUGCAAGUUUGUGGCAGUUUGGUUAGUAACGAACUUUUGUAGAAUUGCAUGAAGAUGACGCUUUUAUAGACAUUUUUUCUUUUUUCUUUUUUUCUUCAGUAAACAUAUUAAAAAUUUAGUUUUUGUCAUCAUGACUAUAACAGUAAAAUGAAAAUAGUACUCAUUUCGACGAUAGACAAAAAUGUUGUACUCAUCCCGAUUAAUGGGCCACUGAUUUCGUCUUCUUAAAAAAUUAUUAUUGCAGUGAGGUAAUUGGAUCAAAGAUGGACGAUUUCCAUAUUUGCCUAACCUAAGUGAUAAGAAUUUUCAUAUGAGACAUAAUCUGAUUUAUUUUGCUUGACUGUAUUCCAAGAGACAGUCAUAUCUACUAAAUGAAACAAAUCUUGCUUUUCUAGAGAAAUAAUGCAACAUGCAAUUAUGCAUAAAGGUACGCAUCCAUGUGAGAAAGUUGACGAAAGCUUCUUUUUCAGUAUUGGAAGUGCAAUCCACAGCGGAACAUUGGAUAAAACCAAUGGAAUGUAAAGCAAAAUUACCGAUUAAACUAAAUUGAAAAUCCAACUAGUUGGAUCAGUUCAGUGUCACUCAAAUAUAUAUAUAUAUAACAACACAAUUAUCAUAUUAAUGAGGCACUGUUAAAUUUGAAUAUUUUUUUUUUCAUUUUUAAUGAAUGCUUAAUAUGACAAACAAUUUGUUCCAUUGAGCACUGUUUAAGUCAUUAAAUGAAGAUGAAUACUUCUAUACAAAACAAUUAUUCUCUUAUUUAUCUGACACACAAAGAACUUUCUUGCUCAGCUCGGCGGCCAAUCCUUUAAAGUUUGUUAAAAUUGAGUUAAUUGAUGAACGAGACAUAACCCGAUAAAUCGUUUAAUUUGUGUAAUUGAUAAAAAUUUGAACUUCAAAUAAUAUAGAUAGAAUGAUUAAUUUUUUUUCAAUAUUUAAAUAAUUGAUAUAUGUCAUGUUACAAUGAGUGAAAGAAUGAAGUGUCUGAUAGAAAACACAAUGUUUAUGUUUGUAUCAAAAAUUUUAAGUGCGAAUCUAUUUAGUGUAUAGGAUAUAUAUAAAAAUAGUUACCAACUUCUCUUGUUUCUCAUUUUGUUUAAUUUUCAUAAUUUGACUAAGGAUUAAUUAUGAGUCAACGGUUUAUUAGAAAAAUAUGAUCUUCCAUUUACUAUUAAAGAUUAGCGUGAUUUAAUUAUUUAAUGGUCGUUCAAUUUUAUUGGUUACCAAAUUCUCUAGGAUCGCAUGUAGAUUAUACUUUUAUAUAUAAAAACAAACACUGUCAACAAGCAUUAAUGUCAUUUGACGCAUGAAAGACAAUUAGUCCCAUUUUUUGUCCUGUUUACUUGAACACCACUAAUUCCACUAAUUCCAACAAUUUAUCCAAAAAAAUUAGUUACUCUUCUUUUUUUUCUUUUUUUUCCGAUCUGUUAAUGAAUGCUCCUACUCCUAUCGGUUCUAUAUCCAACUCGACCUCGGAAGCUAAUUCGCGUUGCUAUUCCUACUUUUCUUGUUAUACUACUUAAUGGCACUGGUGAAGCCUCGAAUUAUCAAACAAAAAGCAAAAAUAGUUCAAUAUAUGUUGUCCCACUGAGCAUUGUUAAAUUCAUACGAUAAAAUGAGCACUUAUAUUAAAAAAACAAUCAGUCUCAUUACGUGCUCUUUCAUUGACAUAGGCAAUUUGCUAUCUAACUUGUGGCACUUUUAUGAAUUUUCAAGACGGGUGAAUUUUUCAAAUUUAAAAGAAAAAAAAUACAGAAAUGUAAUUUCAAUUUAUCCAAAAAUUUGAGUUUCAAGGAAUACAGCAUUUAUUAUAUGUCAUGUUAAUAUAGAGAAGAAAAUUUUAAAAACUUCUUUUUGGAUGAAUAAAAGUAUUUUCUGAUAAAUAUUUCACAAUCAUAUUUAAAAAAUUUCACUCCUCUUGGUGCAUAAUUUAAGAAUUUAACAUUAUAAAUUAAUCUUUUUAAUCAAAGUAAUAACCUCUCCUCGGUCUGCAAAUGCUAAAAUUUAAUAUUAUAUCCAUUGACGAUAUUUGCUCCAAAUUCACGAAAAUAAAAUUUCUAACAGAAUUAUGAAAUUCGUUACUAGAAAUUUGUAUAAAAGUUGUGAGAAUAGAGGGUUUGAUCAUAGGAAAUUAAUAUAUCCCUAUCCGAUGCAAAAAUGAUUGUAAAGAAAAACAAAAGUCACGGGCUUAUUUAGAAAAAAGAAAAAAUUACAUUCCAAUUUCCAGUUAUUAACAAAGGAUAGGCUUUGGUUGACUGAGGUCAGCCUUAACGCACACCGGUCUUUUUCUCCUCUACAUCCUUAGAAAUUUUGGUUUCACUAAAAAUACUCGGUAUAUAGCAAACUUAUAAGUGUUCUUGCAUUACCAAUCCAACUAAGCACACUGUCACGGGAUGAGUGUUUUGCGCAGCUAACCCGUGCGGCACUUAGACAACUUUGCCGAAUGUUGCUAAGUAAGCCUAGAGAUUCUCGAACAAGAGAAGAGAGCAAUUGAGCCAAAGAAACUUGUAUUACACAAAGAGAGAUUACAAUGCUUGUUGGAUACAAAUGCUUAAUGCCAUCCCAUAUUUAUAGGGGAGGCUUUGCCUAACUUUGCCUAACUUCACCUAACUUCACCUAACUUUGCCAAACUUGGUCAAACUCUAGAGUAUUUUACAAUUUCCUAGCUAUUUGCAUGUGCUGGAAUUGUAUAAAGUAUUCUAGAAUAUUUACAUGUUCACAUGUGCUAGAGUUGCCUAGAACCUUCCGGAAUUGGGCCAAGCUAGCACUCUUGGCCUUGUGUUGGCUCUCUAGCCCGAAAUUGUGGGCAAUUGGGCUAGCGAAUUGGGCGGUCCGCAACAACACGCUUACAAUAUAAAUACUCUCAUCUCAUGGAAAGAGUUCAUUCUUUCAGGAUGAUGAGCAGAUUUCUCUUACUCCGUUGUUUGAUUCUUAUUUCCUUAUUUAUCGCGGCAGCAGCAGCCAACACAAGUUCUACUAUCACAGACCGAGAUGCUCUGUUAGCCCUGAAAGCUCACAUAACUCAUGAUCCGACCAAUUUCUUGGCCAAGAAUUGGAACACAAGUACUCCUGUCUGUAAUUGGAUAGGUGUCGCUUGUGAUGUCCAUAGCCAUAGAGUCAUAGUCUUGAAUAUUUCAAGCUUAAAUCUCACAGGCACCAUCCCUUCUCAACUUGGGAAUCUUUCUUCUCUGCAAUCACUCAAUCUCAGUUUUAAUCGACUUUCUGGUUCCAUUCCCUCCGCCAUCUUCACCAUGUCUACACUGAAAAAUGUUACCUUCCGUGAAAAUCAGCUCUCUGGGCAAAUUCCGACAAAUAUUUGUAGUAAUCUUCCUUUUCUUGAAUUUCUUUCUUUGACCGGAAACAUGUUUCAUGGAGGAAUACCGUCCGCUCUAUCAAAGUGCACAUAUUUGCAAAAAUUAAGUUUGUCAUACAAUGAUUUGUCGGGGGUCAUACCUAAAGAAAUCGGCAAGUUGACCAAACUCAAGCAUUUAUAUCUUGGCUUUAACAGACUCCAAGGUGGUUUAAUUAUGAAAAUUGUUGCAUAAGUUGUAGUAUGAAUAAUGUUCCAUAAUACAGUUUGCACACGUUGAUUAAUUUGCAGGAGAAAUUCCUCGAGAGUUUGGCAAUCUUACGGAAUUGGAGUGGUUGGCGUUGGCAGGCAACAAUCUCCAAGGCAUGAUUUUAAACUUUUUGAAAUUUUAUUUUAGCUAUGCUUGCUUCUGUAUUCAUUCGCUUGUUCUUUGAUUAUGCGAUGAUUUAUUGUUUUUCUUUCAGAUAGAGAUAAAGCUCCAUGUCUCCCCUCACUCAUUUCAUUCUUUAAUUUAUGCAGAUAAAAAUUAAAAAAAUGUUUUGUAAUUUUCUUUUGUCAUAUUGCAACUUCCGUUUUGAAGCUCCCAAUUAAGUCGAUGAAAAUGAAUGAUGUUUUAUUCUUAUUCUUGUCAGCCUAAUUCGUAUAUAAUUGAAGAGUAAAUUGUUAUUACGAUAUUCGUCGGCCAAUAAAUUCUUCUUUUUUUCCCCCAAAUAUGAGUGAUCAAAUUGUUUGCGCAUAUAUAAAUGUACUUAAUUUGCAGGAGGUAUUCCACGGGAAUUGGGGAAUCUUACAAAAUUGGAGAGGUUACAACUGUUCGAGAAUAACUUGACCGAUAACUUUCUAUACAAUAUAUAUACGAGACAUCUUCCGCUUUUUAUUAGAAAUUAUAAAUUCAAGUGAAAUCUUAAUUAAAAGAUUUCAAGUCUCUCAUUACAUAUUCUCACAUGAGGAUGUGUCGUUACCAUUAUCUAACAUUAUUCCGUUUUUUAUUAGAAAUUAGUUUGUGUUAAUUCAAAAUUCUGUAGCAUUUAAAAAAAAUUAAAAACACGUGGAAUAAAUUGUUAAUCUUUCUUCUUUACUGAAUUUGGAUUUCUCAAAAAUAAUCUUGACAAGUAUGCUUCACUAAUGAUACACAUGUGUGACAACUUCAUAAAAUAUUUUACAGGGAAUCACUAAUUAUGUUUAAAUAAUUAGAGAUGUCAGCAGUGAUACAUAAUUUCUUAACAAGCACCAUACUAAAAGAAAUCAACAAUUUUAUUAAUCUUAAGGAGUUACAUCUUCAAUGCAAUUAUAACAUAAAUUUUUAGUCAUCAAUCGCAUAAUAUUUUAUCUUAACGGAUGAUGUUCAGUCUUGGAAUUUAUAAUAUCUUGAAGGUUAGUAGCUUUGAAAAUAAGAAAUUGUUCAUUUGCUAAAAAGUUAACUUAGUAUUUUAGUUUUUCAAUUGAAAAUUUUGAAAAAAGUGUUGAGAACUGGCCCUCCUUAUAAAUAUGAAAAAUAGGCUAGAAGAAAUUAUUUUACUGAAAUAAGAGUUAAAAAGAGAGGAGAAGUACAGUACUCAUGACUUAGGUUUGCUGUGUGAGCUUAUUCUACUUGGGCUUUGGGCUUGAUUACGCCCGUUAUAAUAAUAGGCUUUUACUUUCACCACACAUGAUGAUUUCUUAACCUUCCCAAUUAGGUUAUAGCAAUUUAUAUAUAAAUAACUAAAGCAUACUAAAGCUAGCAUUGAUGUAUGGAUGAAUGGUGUAAAAAGUGUAUCUGUUUUCAUGUAUUAUUUAUUCUCUAAAACAUAUCUGAAUACAAUUCUUUCAAAAUACUAAGGAAAUAGCACAUGAAAUCGGAAAUAUUUUAUUGCGAUGAAAAUUCGUAUAUUCAUUGUCGUAGAACAUAUAAAAUAGACUAUAAAUUUAUUAUUCUUUGAAACAAACCUGAUUAUAAUUCCUUCAAAAUUAAGUUUGUCAUUAAAUGAUUUCUCAGGAGCCCUACCAAAAGAAAUCGGGAAUUUGACCAAACUCAAGGAAUUAUCUCUUAACCAUAACAGGCUCCAAGGUGCGCAUGAUCACAGAGUUUAAUUAUGAAAAUUGUUGGAUAAGUUGUAGUAUGAAUAAUGUUCCAUAAUACAGUUUACACACGAUGAUUAAUUUGCAGGCGAAAUUCCUCGAGAGUUUGGCAAUCUUGCCGAAUUGGAGCUGAUGUGGUUAUCAGAAAACAAUCUCCAAGGUAUGAUUUUAAACUUAUUGCAAUUUUAUUCUAGCCUCUGCUUGCUUCUGUAUUCAUUCGUUUGUUCAUUAAUUAUGCUGUGAUUAAUUGUUUUUCUUUCAGAUAGAGAUAAAGCUCCAUGUCUCUCCUCACUCAUUUCAUUCUUUAAUUUAUGCAGAUAAAAAUUAAAAAAAAAAUGUUUUGUAAUUUUCUUUUGUCAUAUUGCCACUUCCGUUUUGAAGCUCCCAAUAAGUCGAUGAAAAUGAAUGAUGUUUCAUUCUUAUUCUUGUCAGCCUAAUUCUUAUAUAAAUGAAGAGUAAAUUGUUAUUACGAUAUUCGUCAGCCAAUAAUUUUUUUUUUUCCCCCAAAUAUGAGUGAUCAAAUUGUUUGCGCAUAUAUAAAUGUACUUAAUUUGCAGGAGGUAUUCCACGGGAAUUGGGAAAUCUUACAAAAUUGGAGAUAUUACAUCUGUGGAAGAAUAACUUGACCGGUAACUUUCUUUACAAUAUAUAUACGAGCCAUCUUCCGCUUCUUAAUUAAUAGAUUUCAAGUCUCUCAUUAUAAAUUCUCAUAUGAGGAUGUGUCGUUACCUCUAUCUAACAUUAUUCCGUUUUUUAUUAGAAAUUAGUUUGUGUUAAUUCAAAAUUCUGUAGCAUUUAAGGAAAUUAAGAACACGUGGAAUAAAUCGUCAAUCUUUCUUCUUUACUGAAUUUGGAUUUCUCAAAAAUUAUCUCAACAAGUAUGCCUCACUAAUGAUAUGCAUGUGUGACAACUUCAUAAAAUAUUUUACAUGAAAUCACUAAUUAUCUUUAAAUAAUCAGAUAUGCCAUCACUGAUACAUAAUGUCUUAACAAGCAUCAUACCAAAAGAAAUCAACAAUUUUAUUAAUCUUAAAGAGUUACAUCUUCACUGCAAUUAUAACAUAAAUUUUUAGUCAUAUCGCAUAAUAUUUUAUCUUAACGGAUGAUGUUCAGUCUUUGAAAAUAAGAAAUUGUUCAUGUGCUAAAAAGUUAACUUAGUAUUUAAAGUUUUCCAAUUGAAAAUUUUGAAAAAAGCGUUGAGAACUGGCGCUCCAUAGUAUUUCAGCGGAUAAAUAUGAAAAAUAGGCUAGAAGAAAUUAUUUUACUGAAAUAAGAGUUAAAAAGAGAGGAGAAGUACAGUAUUCAUGACUUCGGCUUUUUGUGUGUGCUUAUUCUACUUGGGCUUUGGGCUUGAUUACGCCCGUUAUAAUAAUAGGCUUUUACUUUCACCACCCAAUUAGGUUAUAGCAAUUUAUAUAUAAAUAACUAAAGCAUGCUUAAUGUCACGGGACGAGAGGUUUCGAACCCGUGCGGCACUCUCGCAUCCCAUACUACGAGAGUAAGCCUAGUGGAAAUGGCACAAUGUCGACUGGUUUCGCCCUGCCUUGGGUUCAUCAGGAGAACGGCUUCAGUUCCCAACCAGUGUGCGUCAGGAUUUUCUUAGACCCCUCUUCAGCAUUAAGUCCUCGACUAGCGACAAGCUCCCCAAACUCAACCGGGUCGGCCUGCCUGAACUCCAAAGAGUCUAGGGCAUUGUAUUCCCCACACACACAUUCCUGAAGCACAUCUCCAACAAUCAGCACAACCAUCAUCGACACUAGCGUACAAGCGCAUAUCUUGGGUGCCACGAUUGCGGUCCGUGACAUUAAGCUAGCAUUGAUGUACGGAUGAGUGGCGUCAAAAGUGUAUCUGUUUUUAUGUAUUAUUUAUUCUCUAAAACAUAUCUAAAUACAAUUCUUUCAAAAUACCGACGAAAUAGCACAUGAAAUCGGAAAUAUUUUAUUGCGAUGAGAAUUCGUAUAUUCAUUGUAGUAGAACAUAUAAAAUAGAGUAUAAAUUUAUUAUUCUUUGAAACAAACCUGAUUAUAAUUCCUUCAAAAUUAAGUUUGUCAUUAAAUGAUUUCUCAGGAGCCCUACCAAAAGAAAUCGGGAAUUUGACCAAACUCAAGCAUUUAUCUCUUGACCAUAACAGGCUCCAAGGUGCGCAUGAUUACAGAGUUUAAUUAUGAAAAUUGUUGCAUAAGUUGUAGUAUGAAUAAUGUUCCAUAAUACAGUUUACACACGAUGAUUAAUUUGCAGGCGAAAUUCCUCGAGAGUUUGGCAAUCUUGCCGAAUUGGAGCUGUUGUCGUUAUAUGAAAACAAACUCCAAGGUAUGAUUUUAAACUUUUUGCAAUUCUUAUAUUGUUGAAGAAUUAAUUGUUAUUAUGACAUUUUGAGAUUAAUUGUCAUAGGAGGAUGUGUUGUUAUUACUAUUUAACAUUAUCUCGUUUUUUAUUAGAAAUUAGUCUGUGUUUAUGCAAAAAAAUUUAGCUUCUAAAAAAAGUAUAAAAACACAUGGAAUAAAUCGAAAAUCUUUCUUCAUUACUGAAUUUGGAUUUCUCAAAAACUACCAUGAUAGUUAUGUUAGUGUCUUACUAAUGAUAUGCAUGUGUGACAGCUUCAUAAAUUAUUUUACAUGGAGGAUUGGAGAUCUUAGAUAUGUCUGAAAAUUUUUUAACUGGUAUCACUCCAUCUAUCUACAAAUUGCUUUUCUCUAUUAAAUUUUGCUGUGUACUUAUUUUGCUUGGGCUUCGGGCUUGAUUACACACGGUUGAACACUUACAUCCCCCGACAUAGGCUUUUAGGGAUGAGUGGCGUUAAAUGUUUAUCUACUUUUAUGUAUUAUUAUUCUUUGAAACAAAUCUGAUUAUAAUUCUUUUAAAAUACAGAUUAAAUAGCACGUGAAAUCGGAAAAUAUUUUACUGCGAUAAGAAUUCAUAUAUUCAUUGUACUAGCACAUAUAAAAUAGACUAUAAAUUUAGUUCCAAAAUACAUUCUUAUCUUCAUAUAAAUUUUACAUUAUUAAUUUAAAUUAAUAUUAAAAUAUGUUGUUUCUUUCACUAUGUUAUUUUAUUUACACAAUGAUGUGACUAUUGGAAUUAAUAAUACUUUUAAUUAUUUUGUAAAAAUAUAAAUUUAAUACUUUGUUAACAUUUUAUCUACAUAUAAUAAUUAAACUGAAACUUGUAUUUAAAAAAUUCUAGUUACGCAUAUUCAUUUCAUGACAUAAAGUGUAUAUUUAUGCUAAUUUACCAUUAUCAAAAAAAUGCUUUGAGACAAAUAAUCUAAUUUAAAUUCUAUAUUUAAAAUAAUUGCAUUUAUUAUAUUUUGAAAAAAAUUUAUUUGCAAUUAUUUUAAAUCGUUGGAUUCAAUUUUUCGUUGUUAUUAAAGUCAAAUGGUAUAAAUGUAUAAUAGUCAAAAACAUAUUUGUAUGAUCAUUUUUCAAUGUAUAAAUUUUCUUAGUUAGUAGGAAAAUUAGAAAUUGUUGAUUUACUCAUAAAUAAAUUUAAUGUUUAGCAUUUCAAUUUUGGAAAAUUUGAGCUACACGUUGAUAACUUUGAAUCGGUCGAGCCGAGUUUCUCUUCCUUGACCCACGGACCCAUUGAAAGUUCUAUUCGAAUUGAGUUUCCCGGUGCUUAUAAAAAGCAUUUCUUUUCCUUGUCGCAGUAAUUUAUUCACAAAUGAGUUGAUUAGCAUCGAAGUUACCUGAGAGUCUGAGACUAUGUUAAUAGGAGAAAUUUGAAAAGAAAUUAUUUUACUGAACUAAUUUAUUUUAUCUUGCUGUAACUGAAAUACUACUUUUUUUUUGGGGCUAUCACUGGGGCUUGAUUUACUUUAAUAGUAGCAGCCACCCACUCAGGCGUUUUUUACUUCUCACCACACAAUUUGAUCUUUUAAUUUGUUUUAACCACAAAAUCUAUCUAUUUCUCACCUAUUGCUUACUUAAAUUGCAUACAUAUUUUACCUACUAAUUUUUAUAAAUAUUAGUCAAAUAUAUUUUAUUACGUUUCUCUCGUAACUACUCCAAAUGUGUACUAUUAAUACUUAACCCUCCCUUUUAAUUUACCGUGCAAUCUAUCUAUCACUUAAGUCACAUAUAUAUUUUACCCCAAAAAAUAUAAAAAUAAAAGAAAAAGAAUAUGCGUAGCAAUUUGCAUAUAACUAACAAAGCAUUGACGGUGUGUAGCUUUCAAUACUUCACGAGUGGCUUUUCUUGUGUGUUAGUACUUGUAAUAAUUGUGUAGCGUAUAAAUGACAUUUUAUUAUUAAAGUGCGUCCAUUUUUAGAUAUUACUUAUUAUUUGAAAAAUAAUCUGAAUAUAAUUCUUUUAAAAUGCAGGGGAGAUACCGCUUGAAAUCGGUAAUCUCCGAAAUUUGAAGGACUUGAUCCUUAGUGAAAACAAAUUAGUUGGUAUUGUCCCAUUUGCAAUCUUUAAUGUGUCAACGCUCAAAUUACUUCAGCUUCAAAAUAAUUCUCUCUUGGGAUGUCUUUCGUCCAUCGCAAACGUCCGACUACCAAAUCUUGAAGAGCUUGAUUUGUGGGCUAAUAAUUUCAGUGGCACAAUUCCUCAUUUCAUCUUUAAUACUUCUAAGCUCUCUAGACUAGAUUUGAACAGCAACUCAUUCUCCGGUUUUAUUCCCAACACAUUUGACAACUUAAGAAACCUUGAGUGGCUUAGUUUACGAGAUAAUUAUUUGACAUCUUCAACUCCAAAAUUGAGCUUUUUAUCCUCGUUGUCAAAUUGCAAUUCUUUAAGAUUUAUUGACUUAUCAGAUAAUCCACUGGAUGGCAUUCUUCCUAAGACGUCUAUCGGUAAUCUUUCUCAUUCUUUGAAAGAAUUUUACAUGUCCAAUUGUAAUGUUAGUGGCGGCAUCCCUGAAGAGAUCAGCAACUUGACCCACUUGACAACCAUUAUUUUAGGAGGCAAUAAAUUGAAUGGAUCAAUUCCGAUUACUCUCGGCAAAUUACAAAAGCUUCAAGGUUUGGGUCUUGGAGAUAACAAAUUAGAAGGAUCAAUCCCAGACGAUAUUUGUCGUUUGGCUGAACUGUAUAGAUUGGAGCUGGGCGGCAAUAAGCUUUAUGGAUCAAUCCCUACAUGCUUCGGUAAUCUGGCUUCUCUGAGGAUACUGUCGUUGGGUUCCAAUAAGUUAACUUCUAUUCCCUUAACUUUUUGGAACCUUAAGGAUAUCUUGCAACUCAACUUUUCAUCAAAUUUUUUGACCGGCCCACUCCCAUUAGAGAUUGGAAAUUUGAAGGUUUUGAUUGUAAUUGAUUUUUCGAUGAAUAAUUUUUCAGGCGUUAUCUCAACAGAAAUUGGAGGCUUAAAAAAUCUAGAAUAUCUCUUCUUAGGAUAUAAUAGAUUGCGAGGAUCGAUUCCUGAUUCAUUUGGUGAUUUGAUAAGUUUGAAAUCUUUGAAUUUGUCCAAUAAUAAUCUCUCUGGGGCUAUUCCUACAUCUUUAGAGAAACUCUCAUAUCUUGAAGACCUAAAUCUUUCUUUCAACAAGCUAGAAGGAGAAAUUCCUAGGGGAGGAUCUUUUGCAAACUUCUCAGCUGAAUCAUUUGAGGGAAAUGAAUUAUUAUGUGGUUCACCCAAUUUACAAGUCCCGCCAUGCAAAACUAGCAUCCACCAUACAUCAUGGAAAAAUUCUCUUCUCCUAGGGAUUGUCUUGCCAUUGAGUACUACAUUAUUGAUAGUAGUCAUUUGGUUGAUCCUAAGAUAUCGACAGAGAGGAAAACAACCAUCGAAUGAUGCUAAUAUGUCACUAGUAGCAACGUGGAGAAAAUUUUCAUACCUAGAACUUUGUCGAGCAACAGACGGAUUCAGUGAAAACAAUCUAAUCGGCAGAGGAGGUUUUGGCUCUGUUUAUAAGGCAAGACUUGGGAACGGGAUGGAGGUUGCAGUGAAAGUUUUCAAUUUGCAAUGUGGAAGAGCGUUCAAGAGUUUCGAUGUUGAAUGUGAAAUGAUGAAAAGUAUUCGCCAUCGAAAUCUUAUCAAAGUUAUUAGUAGUUGUUCAAAUGAAGAGUUUAAAGCAUUGGUAUUAGAAUACAUGCCUCAUGGAAGUUUGGAGAAGUAUCUGUAUUCAAGUAAUUGCAUUUUGGAUAUUUUUCAAAGAUUGAACAUAAUGAUAGAUGUUGCAUCAGCUUUAGAAUAUCUGCACUUUGGUUGUUCAGCUCUAGUAAUUCAUUGUGACUUAAAGCCCAGCAAUGUAUUGUUAGGCGAUAAUAUGGUUGCUCAUUUGAGUGAUUUUGGCAUCGCGAAGCUCUUAAUUGGAGAAGAUCAAUCUAUGACUCAAACGCAAACACUUGGCACAAUCGGCUAUAUGGCACCAGGUUUGUUCAAUAUAAAAAUUUUCUAUUUCUUGUAAACUUCCUAAUAAGUUAUUUAUGUUUCAUGAUCUUCAUUAGAUGAGGAAAUUCUUAUUAAUGAUAUAUCUUACUAUGUAACUAUUGCAAUUCAUAGAGUAUGGAAGAGAAGGACGAGUAUCCGCAAAUGGAGAUGUUUAUAGCUUCGGGAUUAUGUUAAUGGAAACCUUUACUGGGAAGAAACCCACAGAUGAAAUUUUUAACGGAGAAAUGACAUUAAAGCAUUGGGUUAAUGAACUGCUACCCAUUUCCACUAUGGAAGUUGUUGAUGCUAAUUUACUAAGGCAGGAGGACAUACAUUUUGCCGCAAAAGAGCAAUGUGUGUCAUUUAUCUUCAAUUUGGCUAUGGCGUGCACUGUGGAAUCUCCUGAGCAGAGAAUCAAUGCAAAAGAAAUUGUAAAAAAGCUUUUAAAAAUUAGAGACUCAUUACUUAGAAAUGUUGGAGGCAUAUGUAUAAGACAAUCAAAUUUAAAUUGAUUCUGCCCCUCCUUAAUUGCUUGCUAUCCUUUUCAGAAACUUGAACGGUUAUCCUUCAUACAAGUUUCGUUGAUAUGUUUUGUUAUUGCUCUUGCUCAUGUUUAUUUCUCUGUUUCUUUAAUUUGCAUGCAUGUAUUUUUCUUGCUCCUUUAUGUUUUUGUUGGUUUGUAUGUAGUUUGUUUUUGGGGGUAAGGUUGAUUAUGUCCUCCCCUAAUUAGACGUAUCCUUUUUAUUUUUAUUCAAUAAAGCUUCUGUAAUACUAUCAAGGUUCAUCAAAAGAAAAUUUUAAAUUAAUUUUCUUUUCUAUGUUAGAUAAUGAAAUUCUAAUCUUCAUAGUGAAUAACUUCAAUAAUAAAGUGUAAGAGUAUUAGUAGUUAUGGUUGUUUUCUGAACCUGGAGUCAAGAGCAAUUUAACAGCAACAAACAAGUCUCUUGUAUAAUAGGAAAAAUUCUUUUCAUUAAUCUUAUUUGUCUACAUGUUCUCCAAUUUUCUCCAUUAAUCUUCGCUCAAGGUUUCAUGCUUCCUCUUUGAUAAAGGAAAAUAUUACUCGUGAAUAUUUCAAAUUUUCAAUUUGACAUGAGCGACUGUUUGCCAGCCAUUUGAUAAAAUGGAUAUGAGUGGAGUUUUCAAUCAUUACCUCCUCCAAAAUCCUUACAACACCACUUUUUAAUUUUAUUUUUUAUAAUCCAUUCAGUUUAAUUUAAAAAAAUAAAUCCAUUUGUGGAAUUUAAUCUUUUUCUCAUAAAUUUCAACCUAAAAAAUAUAUUUCUCUUAAAUUUUUAUUACAAAAUAUUUACAAGUUCUAAACUAUUAAAUUAUUUUCUUCUUAUUAUAUAGUUUAUAUCUCCAUAACUCUAAACUCCUAUAAUUUUUUUAAAAAAUAUUUUUUAAUUUAAAAUAUAAAUAUAAAAUAUAGAAUGGAGUGAGAAUAAAAAAACUUGUUAAAAGAAUAAUUCAUUUAAGUAUUUAACUGAAUUUUAAAUUAAAAUAAGAAAUAAAUUAAUUUAUUUUUAUUAGUUAAGUAAUUUUCAAUUGAAAAAAAGCUUUUAGUAAUAUUAUUGAAAUAUGAUUAAAAUUCUUAUGAAUUAAACAUUUCGUAUAAAUACUAGUGAUAAUUACAGAGAAAGUAUGAUGAAGUGAAAAAACUUAAAUAUAAAUACUCUAGUAUAAUUUUACACAUGCAACUUAUGAACCAGUGAUCUUUAGAGCAUCAUAAAAUUGUUUUAACACAAUUAAUUGGUUUGAAAAAUUGCCAAUAAUGUCUACAAUGGGAUUUAAAAGAUUAAACUACAUAUAUAAGACAUGAUAUCAUUUAAGACGACUUACAGAUUAUGAGAAAUAUUUUGAUCUUCCAAAUAUUUAAAAUGUCAAUUAGACUGAGUCUAUGCAAUGAAAAUUUCAAAUAAAAAAUAAACCCUUUAUCUUCUUUUAAUCAUAAGUGUGAUCUUAAUCAUUAAAGUCAUUUAAUGUCCAUUACUUAUUCAUUUUUUUAAUUACCUAAAUGACAUUGAAAACUCUACUCAAUAUUAAUUCAUUCAAAUGUUUUGUUUUAAGGUAAUCGGAAACUGCAAAUGAAACAAAUGCUUGAAAUCACAAACGGCCUAAAAUUAGAUUUUCAUUUUUCAAUGUUGCAGUGACUUUGAUGUUGAUAUUGAAAUUUUAUUUGUAACUUAUAUAAAGGCCUCAAUUUUAUCAUAAUUGGUUAGUAAGGCUACGUAGGGACCAUCGAUAAAUUUUGGGAUUGGAUUAUAUUUUUGGAACUAAAAAUUUAAUUUCAUCCUAUGUUAUGUUUGGCUGUUAGGACUAGCAACUUACUCUAAAAUUAUUGAAAUUAUUGAUGUUUUAUAUUAUAAUCUUUUCAUUACAACUUUAAACAUUAUUGGUAACUUAAAUCAUUUUUUAAAUUAAAUAUAAAAAUUAAUUUAAUUAAAUAUAAAAAUCAUUUAAAUUAAAUAUAAAAAUCAUUUAAAUUAAAUAUUAACAUUAAUUCAUAAUUUUUUACCUAGAAUUUUAUAUUAUAUUAAAUACUAAAAUUCUAUUCGAUAAUGUAUUAUCAUUUAUUUAAUAAAUGUUUAGUAUGUUAUAUUAUUAUUUAAAUUAAUUUUUUAUUUACAUAUAAACAUAAAUUAUUAUUUACUAAUUUAAAUUUAUUAUAAUUAGUUAAAUAAUAAAACAUAAAUGAUUAUAUUGAAAAUAUAAAUAGUAUUCUAAUGUAUUAUAGUCUAAAUCUUACCCCUAUGAGAUUAUUUUAUACACCUUUUAUUAUAUUAACCACAUUUAUAAUGCAGUGCAAUGUAACAAAAAAUUAUAACCAAAUAUGAGUUAGCAUGAAAAUAAUAUUUUAGUGCAAUAUAAUACAAUGUAAUGUAAGCUAACAAAUGGAUAUUUAAUGGAAGCAAAAAUUGCAUAUGGCUUGUGGGUCUCUUAAAAGACAAUGAAUAAACCAAUAUGAUACACUGAUUCUGUCAUCUUUAAUGGUGUCUUUACUAAAUGGGAAUCAGAAUAAGUUAGAAUUGGAAUGAGCUUGAAUCGAAAUAAGGAAUUAGAAUAAAAAUGAAUUGUUUAUUUAAUUUGUAUGAAUCAGAAUCGGAAUAAAUUUUACUCAAAUUAAUAUGUUUAUUUUCUCUUAAAAUUAUAAUGCACUAUUACAAGUUACUAAAAAAUCAUUUGGUAAUUGUUGUCUCUACUACCACUACUACUACCACAACUACUACUACUACUACCACUACUACCACUACUACUACCACUACUACUAGUACUACUACUACUACCACGACUACUACUACUACCACGACUACUACUACUACCACGACUACUACUACUACCACGACUACUACUACUACCACGACUACUACUACUACUACUACUACCACUACUACUACCACUACUACUACUACUACCACUACUACUACUACUACCACUACCACUACUACUACUACUACUACUACUACCACUACUACUACUACUACCACCACUACUACCACUACUACGACCACUACUACCACUACUACCACUACUACCACUACUACUACUACUACUACUACUACCACUACUACUACUACUACCACUACCACUACCACUACUACUACUACUACCACUAUUACCACCACUACUACUACUACUACUACUACCACUACCACUACUACUACCACUACUACUACUACUACUACUACUACCACUACUACCACUACCACCACUACCACCACUACCACUACUACCACUACUACUACUACUACUACAGUCUCUCAUUUUCUAUUUCUAAUUUGAUGUGGGUCUUACUAUUUGGAUUCCAAUUCUUAUAUUUAUUUGUGAGACAAAAUUAUGGUGCAACUGUAGUACCAUUGGAUUCAGCUACAGUUAUCAUCAUGACUUGAUAUAAUGAUUAAAAGUAAUUGUGGUACAUUUAUUUAUGAAGUAAAAUGAUGUUAAUAAUUUCGAUUUCCAAUUCGAGAAGUAAACACAUCAUAAUAUUUUUUUAGAUGCUUCUAUGCCAUAAUCUCAUUGGUCCAUUUUUCUUCACGCCUUAGAUUCAACUUCAAGAUUCAAGAUUCAAGAUUCAAUUUGAAGCAAACACAACUACAAAACAAAUAUAAUAAGCGUUAAUAAGCCUGUGGCUGACUGGCUGUGGCCAAGCAAAUGUACUACCUCAUAGUGAUUAGUGACCGUAUCAUAUCUUAUUAUCUUACGCCAGAAGCUAAACAAUGUUCCCAUUCCACGUGUCACUCUCUGACCAAUCCCCGAACUUUCUUCAUAUUUCCAAAGAAACCCUCACCAAGUCAAGAUAAUUACCUUCACUCUACUCAUAUAAAUACUGUCCUCCAUUCGACUGAUGUCUGAUGACGACAUAUCCUUAGUCUUUAUUUAAAAGGGGAAAUUAUAAAAAAUUCUCCUCGUUCCCUGAAAAUCUAGGGUUUCUCAAGAAUCGCUAAACCUAGGUCCCAAUCCUUCAAAAUCUCAAUUUAAACUCUCUAGGGUUUCAAUUGUCGAGCAUUCGCUUCAAAAUUUAGUAUUUUUUAGGGGAUUUUGCUUGUCUCGUAUCCUUCAAUUGUUGUUCGGUUCUGAAAAUAAUUUGGAAUUUUAGGGAUUUUCAGAUUAUUUGGUUUUGCUUGAGCGCAAUUUCCUCUAGUUACGGUUUCAGUUUGAAGGGUUAAGUGCGAUUUCGAAUAUUUUUAUAAAAUUAAAAUUAAAAUUCAUAAAACGAUUGGGCGUUUAAUAAUUAAUUGAUGGCUAGCGAUACUACAACGGCGGCCGCAGCUGCGGAAGAAGCAGAGGCGGUGGAGGAGUAUGAUAGCGAUCCAGAUGAAGUGAAACGCUCUCUUGCGAUGCGCAGAAGGGAAGCCAGCGAUGAGGAGGUUGAGGAGGAUAAAGAUUCAGAGCUUCCAAUAGUUCAAAGUGUCCACAUUCCUGCGGGAAGCCGAGGCUGUGGAUGAGUAUGAGAGCGAUCCAGAUGAAGUGAAACACUCUCUCAUUAUGCGCAGAAGGGAAACAAGCGAGGAUGAUGAGGAGGAGACAUAAUUUGAGCGUCGAAUGAAUUGAAGGGUCCAGAUUCACUCUUACAUUGAAUCUGAUGGCCAAGGUGGUGCUCCAGCUGAGUAUGAUGAUGAAGAAGAAGAAGAGGAACAUGACAGAGAAUUAGAAGAAGAAGAUGAAGAAGGGGAUGUUUAUGAGGCUGUAGAGGAAGAAGAAGUUUAUGAAGAAGAGGAGAGGAAUGAUGGGGCUGUUAAAGUCAAAGGAAUAGAGGGUAAUGAUGCAUGAGGAGUACGGAGGGUGCAGUGGAAGUGAGUAAAGGGAAUAAUGAUAAUCGCAAUGGUGCUAAAAGAAUGAUGCAGCAGAGGAGGGAAUGGAGGAAGAGAAGAAGGAGAGUAAUGAGCCUUUUGCACAGCAGCUGGGGCUUUUUAUAUGGGACAAUGUUGCAGGUCGACACAGGUAUUAUUUGAUUUGAGUGACAAUUUAUAAAUAGCUAAUAGCUAUGGGACAAUGUUGCAGGUCGACACAGGUAUUAUUUGAUUUGAGUGACAAUUUAUAAAUAGCUAAUAGCUUUACUUUCAUUAGGGCUUGUCAAUUAAUCCAGUCUCAAGUUUUGGUGCUGUAUAAUGAUUGUUUGCUGGAAUCUGUGUAGAAGGCUUUUGGCCUAGUAGGUUGAAAGGAGAGAAAGUUCUCAAAUAAACAUCUGUGCUUUGUGGAAUAUAAUUAAUAGGUACAAAGCAUACUAAAUUACUUGACAGAUAGAUGCCGAGCUAAUCAUGGGCUAUGAUAGCAUUAUCCGUGCUUUCUGUAUUUUUAAUAGGGCUUGUCUAUUUCAAAGUGUGUAGUGUAGAAUUUUUGGGUUUAGUUUGAGUGAUGAAGUGUUAGAUAGGUUUCUGUUUGGCAUAGUUAAGUGGUUAAUACGAGCUAUUGAAGCAAAUAUGGAGUAGGAUAUCUAGUUUUGGGUUUGGUCUUAGUUUGAAGAUGGCUACUGAUUAUGCAGCUAGGUACGUAUUAGUGUUUGUGGAUUGCUAAAUGCUUUCUGUCAAAUGUGAGUAGAUUAUUACUUGAAGUGCAUGGAUCUUACACUUAAUUAAUUAUAUAUCCAUUUGUAAUGUUCAAAAUGAUCAUGUACUAUUGCUUAAAAUUAUGUUUUCAAGCCAUGGUUGUAAUGUGUCUCUAAAUUCAGUAAUACAAGUUCUGUCAAUUGCUGUCGGAUGGCAGUGACUUGAAUAGUUUAAUGUUCAUUUGCAGACAAAAUUUGAGAAAGAAAACUAAAAAUUUCUGUGCGUUCUGCUGGAAAUUUAAUUAGCUUCAUUUGAGCAUUAAUUGCUGGCAUUAUCUCUUAGAUUUCUCUUGCAUUGAAUGAAUGGAUGAGUGCUAAUCCAUGCAAAGACUCCCAUGCAUACACAAUGAAUGCUUCAUCAAAGGUAUGGUAAAAUGUCAACACGCUUGGCCCAAAUUAUCAAGCUGGUGUGGUGGCUGCUAGAUUUGUUCAUCCGGAUUUUGGACCAUUUUCAUUGACAAUGAGAAAAGCUGCAAGAUCUGUAAAUCGGAAACUCAUUGAAGUGCCAAAAGAGAGAUGGAAGUGAAUAACAAGAGAGUUAGUGAAGAGAGGGUGCAGUGAUUGUGUGGGAAGCUUUGGGUUUACUUGGGGUUUGGAUGUGAGAUAAAAUAAUUUGAGAGAGAGGUUGUAACAAUUUUUCGGUAAUAGAGUUUUUCAGGUAACUCUUGUGUUGUGUGAUUAGAGUAUUCUCUAUUGUAUUUUGUUUUUUGUUAUUUAUUUGACGUAUUGCUAGCGGAGAUCUUGGGUGGGAACCAAAAAUUCCCAACAAUUGUCAAUUGUUUUAAACUCUAUUUCGAACAGAGCAUGAAGGGAUUCACUUAUCUGAUUAUGUCUUUUAUGCUUUAACUUCACUUGAUUUCAUCUUGUCUGUCACCUUUAUUAAAGUUGUAUAUGUUGGGAGUAUUAGGUUCAUCACAGGGAUCAUAUUAUGGCUAAGGAAGGGGCACAGUUUAUCAGCUGCACUCAAGUGUAGCAGAGUAUUUGGAUUCAAGACUGUUAGAAGGUUGUUACAAUGCAAGGCUGUUGCUGUGUAACUGUAUGCCAUUCUCGCAAGUGCACUCUUAACAGAUUGCUGAGGUGGCACCGGAUGUUUUUAGCUAAUAUUAGUUAUUGGUCUAGAGUGUUCUGAUUUAUUCUAUAAAUAGCUCAUUCGAGCUUAGAACCUUUAUAGUGUAUCAUAGGUUUCUGUUUCUUCUAAUAACGAUUUUCUCUAUUCCUUUUUCUUUCACUUUCUCUUUCAUUUUCAUGAUCCCCAAACACCAUCAAUCCAUGAUUUUCUAGAGUAUUAGUUGUCUAUUUCUACAAACAUAGAAUUGUUGUUUUAAGAAACAAAGUACUCUGUCCUGUCACCCGCGGUCUUCUUGUUUAUCGACUUGUGAACAGGGCUAAAUAAACGGCAAAUAAGAUAUUGGGUCAAUGGGUCUAACGUGACAAGAUAUUGAAUUAUUGCCCUUUUCUUGUCUCCACAAAUUUUUGGUAAAUUUUUAGGUUCCCUCAACUUUUUUCUCCUUUAGCACUAAAAUUCAUUUUUGAUACUUUAUGCAAAAAUUAUGAUGAAAAUGAGUCACUUUAGAACAUCAAUAAAUUUUUAUUUUUACAUCCAAGAUGACGAUAGUUACACUUAGAUCACUCUCAUUUAGUUGAAUUAUAUAGGUAAUAAAGUUGGCUUAACAAAAUAUGAUUCUUAACUGUUGUAAUUAAGGGCUAGUAUUCUUUGGUUUUAGUUGUAGGGUUUAUAAUGCUGUGGCUCAGUUCUUGGUGGGUUCGAAUUAUUAGACGAUCAUUCUCAAUCCUUUACGAUUCAUAAUUAAAAAUUCCUAUAUCACAAUUAGAACUUACAAACAAGUCAAAGUGGGUUAAAUCUUAUGUAUAAAUUUGAGGUCUAUUACAAACUUUUAAAAAAGAUUUUUACCAUAUAAAAAAAUACUAUUCCAAAAAAAAUUGAAAAUCCAACCAAUUGAAUCGGUUCAGUGUCACUCAAAAUGUGUGUGUGUGUGUGUGUAAAACAACACAAUUAUCAUAUUAAUGAGGCACUGUUAAAUUCAUUCAAUGAAUAUUUUUCUUUUUCAUUUUCAAUGAAUGCUUAAAAUGACAAACAAUCGCUUGUUUUACAAUUCUUUUAUAUAUCUUUGAAACUUUCAGCUUCCCAACACAUCAUAUUGUUCUCAAUUCGUCUAAAUUAUUAUUAUUUUUUUUUCAAACACUGCAGCAACAACCAGUAUAAAAUAGAAUAAACUCAUUUAAUGGAAAUUUUCCUAGAGGCUUUCAUGGCAGAAUCUCAUUGGUCUAUUUCUCUUCGCACCUUAGGUUCCUCUAACAAACCUACCUCUUAACUCUCAUGUCCGAAUUUAAACUUAAAAGAUGUUCCCCGUCCCACGUGUCCCCAAAUAUUUGUAUUUCCAAACAAACCCCUGCCAACUAAGUCAAGUGAUAGGAUGGCUUUUAUUACAAACUGUAUGAACGUUAUGGCCAUGGGACAUUGGAUAAAACUAAUGGAAUGUAAAGCAAAAUUACCGAUUAAACUAAAUUGAAAAUCCAACCAAUUGAAUCGGUUCAGUGUCACUCAAAAUAUGUGUGUGGUGGUGUGUGUAAAACAACACAAUUAUCAUAUUAAUGAGGCACUAUUAAAUUCAUUCAGCGAAUAUUUUUCUUUUUCAUUUUCAAUGAAUGCUUAAUAUGACAAACAAUCUGUCCCAUUGAGCACUGUUUAAGUCAUUCAAUGAAAAUGAAUACUUCUAUAACAAAACAAUAAUUCCCUUUUUUAUUUGACACGCAAAGAAUUUUCUUGCUCAGCUCGGCGGCCAAUCCUUUAAAAUUUGUUAAAAUUCAGUUAAUUGAUGAACGAGACAUAACCCAAUAAAUCGUUUAAUUUGUAUAAUUGAUAAAAAUUUGAACUUCAAAUAAAAUAGAUAGAAUGAUUAAUUUUUUUCAUAUUUAGAUAAUUGAUAUAUGUCAUGUUACUAUGAGUAAAAGAAUGAAGUGUAUGAUAGAAAACAUAAUGUUUAUGUUUGUAUUAAAAAUUUUAAGUGCAAAUCUAUUUAGUGUAGGUUAGACAUAAAAAUAAUUACCAACUUGUCUUGUUUCUCAUUUUGUUUAAUUUUCCUAAUUUGAAUAACUAUUAAUUAUGAGUCAAGGGUUUAUUGCAAAAAUAUGGUCUUCCAUUUACUAUAAAAAGAUUAGCGUGAUUUAAUUAUUUUUCUUUUUGCUUGGUGUCUGUAAAAUUAUGAAUACUUUGGUAAAUAAGAUAAUUAUAAAUACCAUUUUGAAAACCCAUGGCCAUGGUUGUGAUGUAUCUUUAUCAAUCACGGAUACAAAAAUUAAUCAAAAUUAUCGAUUGAUUACUUUUUAUACUUUGACUUCACUUAAUACAGCUUCUUCCUCUUUUAACUGUAUGCCAUGCCGGCAAGUGUAUUGUACAGAUUACUGAGCUAGCACCGAUAACUAAGCUAAUUAUUAGGAAUCAAUCUAGAGCGUACCUGUAAAUACAAUAGGUUGCUUAGGUGGCACCAAUAUAUUAACUUUAUGCCGUGUUUCUGGUGUGUCUUCACAAAUUCACCGAUAAAAAUUAAUUUCUACCAAUAUUACCAAAUGAUUGUAUUUUACGUUUCUAUUUACUUGUAAUAAAGAUCUUCCAUGUGUAUAUAAGUGUUGAUUUUUAACUGAUAGCUGAUAGCUGUAUUUUCAUGGUCAUUCAAUUUUAUUGGGUACAAAAUUCUCUAGGAUUGCAUGUACAUUAUACUUUUAUAUACAUAUUUUCUUCUUUCUCAUUCGUUUUCUGGGUGAACAUAUUAUUUUCGUCAUCAUCUCUAUAACAAUCAAGUAAAAAUAGUCCUCAUUUAAAGUAUUGGCAGCAAUGUUAUACUCAAUAUAACGUAUAAAGCACGCAUAAUUUACUCAAUGGGGUAGCUGCUAGUACCUUCUUUAGAAGAGAAUUAUUGCGGCAAGGUAAUUGGAAGCUCAAAGAGUUUCCGUAUUAGCCGAAUCUAAGCGAUAAGUGUUUCCAUGUGAGCCAUAAUUUGGGAAAAAGACCAAUUCGAGUUAAAGAUCAGAAAACAAACAGUGUCAACAAGCAUUAAUGUCAUUUGAUGCAUGAAAGACAAUUAAUCCCAUUUUUUGUCCUGUUUACUUGGCUUGGGCAAUUUGCCGUCAACUUUUCUCAUCCACGUCAGGUAAUGUGGGUUUUAUUUGGUAUGAAAAAGCCAAUGCUUUACGAUAAAACUAUCACACGCAUAUUAUCCAUCUGUAAUGUUCAAAUGACACUCAAGUAUUACCCAAAUUAGCCUUUCAAAAAUUCAUUUUCAAAAACCCAUGGUUGUGAUGUGUCUCUAUAAAUUAAGAUCUAUCUGUUACUAACUGUUUUAACUCUAUUCUGAACAGAGCUUGAAAGGGUACAUUCACUUAUCUAGUUAUGUUUUUUAGGCUCUCACUUUACUUGAUUCACUUUAUCCCUCUUUUGAAACAAUUGUUCACUGGCUGCACUCAGUUGACAGAAUAUUUUGGGAUUCAAGACUGUUGGUUGUUACGGAUGCAACUUGCAAGGCUGUUGCCAUGCUGGCAAGUGUGCUGCUAUAACAGAUUGUUGAGAUGGCACCAAAGAUUGUAAACUAAUUAGUACUGGAAAAUCAUGAGUUUGAUGAUGAAGAGGACGAAAAAUAUUAUUUUAUUAUUUAAAAAUAAGACUAUCAAUUAUUUCCAUGGUCAUCUUAUUUUUUUUUAAUUAAUUGGCCUAAAUAUUGUAUUUUUUGUCAGGAGUCUUGCAAUGCUGCGUAGCACCGUAAGUAAGAAGAAACGUGUCUAAGGUUGCCACGUGUUGUCUCAACAUCUGUGUGAAAACCGAAUUAACCAGUUUGCGUUCGACAACAAAGGAAAAUGCUUCUUGUUGCUGACCGAUUGCUAAGUAUUUCAAUACCUCCACCAAAAUCUUUAUAACACCCUUUUUAAUUUUAUUUCUGAAGAGUAAUGAUGUAGUCAUAAAUUCUUGUACAAACUUAUUUUGUACAAACUGACGUGGCAUGAUAAGAUUGGUUGAAUUAAAUAUCACUUGACCCACAUGAUUUGUUUUUAUUAUUUUAUAUUUUCAUUCAACCAAUGAAUUAAUGACACGUUAGUUUGUAUACAAUAAGUUUGUACAAAAGUUUGUGGCUGUAUCAUUACUCUUUUCUAAAAUACACUUAGUUUAAAAAAAAAAAGAGCUUUAUGAGAAAUUUUCAGUGUGUCAAAAGGCCUACUUAAUGGACUGGAUCCCGACUCAUUAAUUUUAUAACCCGACUUACAAUCCGACUCAUUAUUCACAGAGAUUAAUUUUCUAUUGCUUAAGGCACAAUAUUUACUAAGCAAUUUAUCGGCAAUAAAACAUGUAUAUUAUAGUGGUUUGUAAUAAAAUUGGAAGAAGACAUCACGUACGAAUUGGAUUUAUCCCAUGAAAUUUGAUUAACGAAAGUGUAUGAAAAUCUAUAAAGAAAAUAGUAAAAACAAUUGUUGUGUAAAUGUUGUAUAGGUGAUAUAUUACUUUUAUAAUCCAUCAAGGUACAUUUGAUUUUAAUGAUGAAACAAAUACAAAUAAAUCCAUGUAUGUCAAUGCUAGAUGGUUCCAUAUUAAACUUGUGAAGUAUAGAAAAUAAGCGAGAUUCGUAAAAAAAUAUUUUAGAUAAUACCACUGAAAAGUUAUAAAAAAUAUUUAAAAAAAAGAAAUACAUACUUGAGACACCAAGACUGAUACGCACAAACUCACACAUUUACAUAUUAAUUGAGGGAAAAAAAUAAUAUUCUGAGUAAUAUUGUUGACAUAUGAUUAAAAUUCUUUUUAAUGAAACAUUUUCGUAUAAAUACUAGUGAUAUUUGUAGAGAAAGUAGAAUGAAGUGAAAAAAAAACCUUGAAUAUAAAUGCUCCAAUAUAAUUUUUCCCAUGCCAAUUAUGAACUAGUGAACUUUAAAGCAUCAUAAAAUUGUUUCAACAUAAGUAAUUAGUUUGAAAAAUUGCCAAUGUGGGAACGAAAAGAUUAUACUAUACAAGACACGAUAUUAUUUAAGACAACUUGUAAAUUAUGGGAAAUAUAUCGAUCUUACAAAUAAUAUUUAAUAAGUACAAAUUUCAAAUUAAAUAAUAAAUCCUUAAUUUCCCUUUAAUCAAAAUUAUGAUCUUAAUAAUUAAAGUCAUUCAAUCUUAAUCACUUUUUCAUUGUUUUAAACUAUCUAAAUGACAUCGAAAACUCUACUCAAUAUGGGAUUUUUAUUUAAUUAUUUAAUAAUAUACUACUAUCUAAUAAAUCAUUAAUUUCCUUUUAUUCGAAUUUAAUAAUAUACAUAAUUUGAGCGUCGAAUGAAUUGAAGGGUCCAGAUUCACUCUUACAUUGAAUCUGAUGGCCAAGGUGGUACUCCAGCUGAGUAUGAUGAUGAUGAAGAAGAAGAAGAGGAACAUGACAGAGAAUUAGAAGAAGAAGAUGAAGAAGGGGAUGUUUAUGAGGCUGUAGAGGAAGAAGAAGUUUUUGAAGAAGAGGAGAGGAAUGAUGGGGCGGUUAAAGUCAAAGGAAUAGAGGGUAAUGAUGCAUGAGGAGUAUGGAGGGUGCAGUGGAAGUGAGUAAAGGGAAUAAUGAUAAUGGCUAACGAAGGACCACAGCUCAUUGGCUGCACUCAUGUGUAGCAAAGUAUUUGGACUCAAGACUGUUAGAAGGUCGUUACAGACGCAAGACUGCUGCUGUGUAACGGUAUGCCAUGCUGGCAAGUGGGGCACCAAAUAUUGUGAGCCAGUAUUCGUAAUUAGUGUAGAGUGUUCUGAUUUAUUCUAUAAGUAGCUCAUUCGUGCUUAAAACCUACAUGUAUUGUAUGUUUCUAUCGGUAAUUUGAUUACCUUUCCGUACUUUAUCAAUCAUUGAAUGAUUUUACUGGUUUAAUUGCUUGAUUGUUUGAGUAUAAUCGGUAAUUUGAUCGUCUGUCAGCAAGUGAUUUACAAUUCACUCUCCAAUUUUCAUUAAUUUAGUGUAGCAAAGCUUUAACUAGAUAGGUAGAUAACGUGGUCAUGAAAACUUGAUUAAGAGUUUAGUGCAAUCAAAUCUACUUUAAUGAUUAUUUAAUGCACGGAGAUUUAACAUCAAUUAUCAUCACGUUAUUCUAACAACGAGAUUGCAGAGCUUGGAUCUUUACUCGAACAGUUUCAAUUCCUGUAUGAUCAUUUCCCCAACUAUUAUUUGAAUAAUUAUUUAAUGCCGUUCAUUCCAGCUCUGUUUGGCUGUUAACUUUAUUUUGUUAUUUAUGAGGAGAUUCAUUUCUCACCUGAAGCUAGAAAUUUACGGAUCAAUGACUUUUUAUUUUUUCUUUUAUAUGAUAGCUUGCAAUCCCUGGUGUCUGUUGAUAGUGCCUUACAUGAAUACAAAAAUGAACAAUUUUUUUUUUUUUGGGGCCAAUUGCAGUUUUGAUAACAACUAAAAUCUGUGUGGUCCAGUUACCACAGAGCCUUGCCCAAGAUCCCUGCCAUUUUCUCCUCCACCUCCAUUUGGGGAAAUUACUACUUACUUUUUGCAAGUUUUUCUUGAAAUAUUUAUUUUGAGAAGAAAACCAACAAUACAUUUUAUGAUUUGGGCUCUUUCAAAGAUCUUCGCUUGAUGUCUCCGCUACUGGUUUUCAGUAGAGUGCCCAAAAAUAAUCAGUGCACGCACUAUAGGCUCUAUUAUUAUCAGUAAAAAGCACUAAUGAUAUAAUGGGAUCGACCUUUUUAUUUGGGAGUGGAAGGAUGCUUGAAAGAGUAGAGUGGUGCAUCUUGUUCAAACAUGCACCGUAGAGCCAAUUCCAUUUUAUGAAAUAGGAGUUAGACUGAACAACGUUAUGUCUUCGUUAUCAUUUCAGAAGGAAACAAAUCAAACAAUGCCGAAAUUGAGUGCCCACACAUUUUCAUGCCCAAAUUGAGUGCUGGAAUGGUGGUCAAAUCUCGAACGAAGACAGAUCUAUCAAACUCCAAAUCUCGAACAAGGAAUUAAAUCUGAAGUUUACGCGCAAACAAACUGAAAUCUGAAGUUUGCUGAAGUUAAGGGACAAGAGCGCAAAACAGAAACUCUGUCCACUACUGAUGAUAUAACAACGAACCUUUGUUUUUUUUUUUAAAAAAUAAUAAUAAUAAUACAACGAACCUUUUUUUUUAAAAAAAAAAAAAGAGUAACAAAAUAUCAUUGGACAAAUGAAAAUAUUUUUUCAUGUCGUUCAGAUAACUGAUUGAUAAAGUAUCAUUAGACAAAUGAACCUUUGUUACCUAAUUCAGCCUUGUUUUCUUUGAACCAGCGCCUGAUUCACAAGACUCCAGUAAUUUGGCUUUUGAUCAACUGAUUGAUAAAUGUUCAAUUUCUUUGGUGAUAAAUGUGUAUGUGAAGCAGGCAGCAGGGCAUGACUGUGGAAAAGAGAAGAUUUUAGUGAAAGGCGAGACUCAGAUAAUUCUACGCGUUUUGGCUGAUUUAUAUAAUUCGUGAAAUUUUAUUUCCAUCUGUUACAAGACAAACUGAAGCAUAACUCAAAGAAAAGUAUUCUACUUCUUGCGGCAAUCUUGCCUUCAUUCAGACUAUGAACCAUUUCCUUUCACCAAGUUCUUCCUAAACAUUGAAUAAGUUUCAUGGUUGGACAUAGUUAGCUUCUGUAUCUUUCGGUGCAUUUUGGUACUAUCAAGUGACAGCCGUAAAUAUGAUUGCAUUAUUGGGAAAUUUUACGAUUUGAUGGUUCCCCACGUUAUUGCCGAGAAAGUCCUCAUGUCAGAAGCUGCGGUUCUUUUCAUCAGCCUGAACCCGAACCUGUCGCUAUGGAUAAUUCAGGUUUUUGUCAUCAACUAUAUCAUCUUUUUCACUGUUUUGAAACUCUUAAUAUUAAACUUCAGUAAACUUCAGAUUUCAGUUUGUUUGCUGGAAACUUGUAUGGUGACAAGGAUACUUGCAAGGAUAAUGAGAUAGUUUUUUGUGUGAGUGAAUUUUGAGAGCUUGAGUGUUCUGGGAUUUGCAAUUGCAAUCAUCCUCUGUUUCUGGUGAUUUCUUCUCCUGCUCUGUCUUUAUUUGCUCUCUAAUUGAAAAGCAUAAAGUAUUUCAAUCAAAUUCUGUACCAGGAAUACUUUAAAGUUACUGAUACUUUAUUUCCAUCUGUUUGCAUUGAUAACUUGGCGGCAUAUGUACUAGUUAAAAAACAAACAGAAGUAGAGUUCAGGAAAAAGCUUCUUCGGCCACCAUAUUUGAAAAUGAAACCAUUUCCUGGAAGCAGUUGGCAGCAAAUUCGUAUAAAGUGUAGACAAUUAUUAGCAGAAAGGUGAUUCACAAUUUCAUUUUUUUAAAAAUGAAAUUAUUUGUUAAGUUGGAGCUGAUACUGUUAGAAGGCCAAUGAGCUAACCUAUGACACUGCUUGCCUAGUUUGCAGGAGGUCAAGGCUCAAAAGAAGCACUGAAUUUUAAAAGUCAUGCAAUAAUUCUUAGGGCCAUAUGUCAAUUCAUGUAAGUUUGAAUAAGUUUAAUGGUGGAACGCUUUUAGCUCCUUUUCCUUUCGUGCAUUUUGGGGUGCUAUCAAGUGACCGCCGUAUGUAUGGCUGCAUAUAGCUGCUUCUGGGAAAUUUGAGGAUUUGAUGGCUGCCCGUAUUAUUGUCUUAAAUUAGAUGUGAUAAACUGUUGCUUAGAGAUUCUGUUGCCGAGACUUUGCUCACAUCAGAAGCUGUGGAACCUGAACCCUUCUCUAGAUAUCAUCUUUUUCAUUGUUUUAAAACUCUCAGGAUUAAACUUAAGUAAAUUUGUUCGGUUGGCUAUAUAAUCAGGUCAAGUAUAUUGGGCAGGCAAAUGUCAAAACUGUUGUGUGCGAAAUGCGGAAUCAAGUGCACCAAAUAAUUACAGAAAAAUAAAGAACACAAGAAUUUACGUGGUUCGAUAAUUAAACCUACAUCCACGGAGGCAAGAAAGAAUAAUUGUUUAUUUAACAAUUAAUAGAGUACAAUAUUUGAGUAACGAAUCUCACUUCCUAAAAACCCAAAUAUACCCAGUACUCUCACACUCUGCAGGAAAGAUAAAUUCCCCAGACACACUUCUCUCACUUCUCUCAAAAGCUUAGAAACUUAUAAGCUUUAACAAUUUUGGGAUGAUUUCAAAUGAAUGAAAUCCUUAGCUAUUUAUAGGAGAAAUGAAUUACUAUGCUAAGAAUAAAAUAAUUAAAAAUUAUUUUAUUUUUAAUUAUUAUUAUUUUUCAAAUCCAUCCCCCGUUCUUUCUUUUCGACUUUACAAAAUCAACAAAUUGUUGGUGCACCAACAAUUUGUUGACUUCAACAAAUUUGCACCAAUAAUUUGUUGACUUCAACAAAUCUCCACCUCGACGAAAUUUUUUCAAAUCUGAGCCGACUACCAACGAGCCAUCAUCCCCAAAGUGGCUGCAUCUCUAUGACUGCCUACGUACCCAAAAUUUGAGAUCAAGUCAACCGUAGUUCAAAAAAUUCCCGAAGGACAUAUCUUAACACAAUCGAAGGAUUUGAAUUAAUUUCAAGCAAUGUUGAAACUUAACUCCAGAAACUACCUUCGUCAACAUAUCUGAUGGAUUAUCUUUAAUAUCAAUCUUUCUCAACAACACAACACCGCUCUCGAUGAUCUCUCUCACAUAAUGAUAUUUCACAUCUAUGUGCUUCGUUCGAGCGUGAUAUGUUUGAUUCUUCGCAAGGAAUAUCGCACUUUGAUUAUCACAGAAGACCGCAAUGUUCUCCUGAAUUACUCCCAAAUCACCUAACAAGCCUUUCAACUAGAUAGCUUCUUUUACAGCUUCAGUUGCUGCCGUGUACUCUGCUUCUGUAGUGGACAAAGCAAUUGUCGAUUGUAGAAUUGACCUCCAGCUAACCGGACCUCCACCCAAUGUAAAUACGUAGCCCGUUGUUGAUCUUUACCUAUCAAGAUCUCCAGCGAAAUCAGAAUCACAAUACCCAACACAUUGUUGACCACAAUCCUUCUUGAACAAUAACCCAACAUCAACUAUCCCAUACAGAUAUCGGAGAAUCCACUUUACUGCAAGCCAGUGACUUUUACCCGGAUUGUGCAUGUAUCUACUAACCAUGCUUACUGCUUGAGAUAUAUCUAGCCUUGUACAUACCAUAGCAUACAUAAGACUACCCACAGCACUAGCAUAUGGAACACGAGCCAUGUAAUCGCGUUACUCUUGAGAUUUAGGACAUGAAGAAGAGCUUAAUUUGAAAUGAGGAGCUAGAGGUGUACAUACCGGUUUAGUUUUGUCAUCCAUACCGAAUCUUUCUAGCACUUUCUUCAAAUAAGACUUUUGAGUCAACCAUACACUCCCAUUCUUCUUGUCUCUACAAAUCUCCAUCCCAAGUAUUUUCUGUGCAUCACCCAAGUCUUUCAUCUCGAACUCAGAAGCCAGCUGCUUCUUUAAUCUUUCGAUCUCAUCUCUAUUCUUCGAAGCUAUAAGCAUAUCGUCGACAUAGAGUAGCAAAUAAAUGAAAGCUCCAUCUGGCAGUCUUCUAAAGUAAACACAAUGAUCGUGUUCACUUCUGGUGAAUUUCUGCCCUUGUAUAAAUUGAUCAAAUCUUUUGUACCACUGCCUUGGCGAUUGCUUCAGUCCGUACAAAGAUUUAAUCAACCUCCACACAUGAUUCUCCUUUCCAACAACUCUGAAACCACAAGGCUGAAUCAUAUAGAUUUCCUCCUCCAAAUCUCCAUGUAAGAACGUUGUCUUAACAUCUAACUGAGCCAACUCUAACUCAUACUCUGCAACUAAGGCAAGUAGGAUACGAAUGGAAGUAUGUUUUACAACUGGAGAGAAAACUUCAUUGUAGUCAAUACCUUCCUUUUGAGCAAAACCUUUUGCCACGAGCCUUGUCUUGUAUCGAGGAGUUGUUUGAUACGGAGAUCCUUGCUUUUUUGUGUAGACCCAUUUAUUGCCAAUAGCCCUUUUCCCCUUUGGUAACUUUACAAGUUCCCAAGUCUGAUUUUGAUGGAGAGAUUUCAUCUCUUCCUCCAUGGCUAGCUUCCACUGAUCACUUUCACUGCUGCGUAAUGCUUCACCGAAAGUGUUGGGGAUGUCAUCAUCAAUAACUGGAAGUGCAUAGGCUACCACCAUAUCUUUAGUAAGUCAUCCGGGUUUCUUUAUCUCUCUUCUUGGCCUCCUUGUUGCUAUAAAAUUAUCAUCAUCUACAUCAUCAAUUGUUUCUUCAUUUUGUGGGACAUCAAAAGAAACAACCUCUUCUUCAACUCUAGGUGUCACCUCCAUAGUUGAACUAUUCUUUGAUGUAGAACUAACUGGUACAUAUGGAGUUGCAUCAAACUCCACCCGCUGCAAUACCUCUGUGGUCUUGUUCUCCAUCUGCUGAGAACUUGAAGCUUUUAUCAUUGAAGCUUCAUCAAAUGUGACAUCUCUACUACACACAAACUUUUUGUCUUCGAGAUCCCAAAACUUGAAGCCCUUUACUCCACCUUUGAAUCCCAUAAAGAUAGCUUUUCUAGCACGAGGAUCCAGUUUACCAUUUUUGACAUGAUAAUAAGCUGGACACCCGAAUAUACGAAGAGAAUCAUAGUCUUGUGCAUGCUUUCCAGACCACAUUUUCAUAGGAGUUUUACCUCCAAUUGCAGCAGAAGGCAACCGGUUUACCAAGUGACUUGCGUAGCUCACAGCUUCAACCCAAAACUUUUUUUCUAAACCAGCAUUAGAUAACAUACACCGUACCUUCUCCAGUAAAGUACGAUUCAUACGCUCAGCCACACCGUUCUGUUGCGGAGUAUAUCUCAUCGUGAAAUGUCUUUUAAUACCCUCGUUCUGGCAUACUUGCAAGAACAGAUCAGAAGUAUAUUCACCCCCAUUAUCAGAUCGCAAUACUUUGAUCUUUCUGCCAGUUUGAGUCUCCACUAAUUUCUUCCAUUUCACGAAAAUCUCUAGAACUUCAUCCUUUGCUCGCAUGGUGUACACCCACACACGUCUAGAGAAAUCAUCAAUAAAUGUAGCAAAAUAAUGGCUUCCACCAAUUGAUGCAGUCUUGGUUGGUCCCCAUACAUCACUAUGAACAUAUUCAAGGAUCUCACGAGUAUCGUGAUUAGUUGUACCAAACUUGACCCUUGUUUUCUUGCCUACUACACAAUGCUCACAGAAAUUUAAUUUACAAGUUUUGGUACCUUUUAAGAGUCCAUGCCUCAUCAGAGUUUGCAAGGACUUCUCUCCUGCAUGUCCCAGUCGUACAUGCCAUAGCUUGGUGGUGUCAAUGUGCAUCUCAACAACAUUUGCUUCAUCAGUUGUAUCUCCCUUCAAAUAGUACAGAUUGUGAUGCCGAACCCCUUGCAGAAUCACCAUAGCCCCAUGUGUAAACUUCAUUGUGCCAUCUUCAAUGGUAACUUUGUAACCUUUAGCUUCCAAAGCACCCACAGAAAUUAGAUUUUUCUUCAUCUCUGUAACAAAUCUAACCUCUUUAAGUUCUCUGACCAUUCCAUCAAACAUUUUAAGCCGAAUUGUUCCUAUCUCUAUUGUGAGAUAAGGUUAAUCAUUCCCCAUCACAACUACACCGAAUUCUAGAUUACGAAAAUCUGUAAACCAUUCCUUAAUAGAACACAAAUGAUAGGUUGCUCCAGUAUCAAGUAUCCACUAGCUCGAACUAGCUACGUAUGCUACAGGAGUAAUACUUAGUGAAUAAUCAGAGCCCUCAUCUUUCCGUGCCAUGUUUGCUGCUGCUGGUUUCUUCCCAUCUCUCUUUUGAGCCUUUAGACAAUCUUUCCUCCAAUGGUCAUUUUCAUGACAAAAGGCACACUCAUCUCGAGCUAUAUUUCUGCUUCUCGAUUUGGAUCGAGAAUUCUUUCCACCACGCUUCUUCUGUUUCUCCAUCGCCCAAUCUCUGCUCACCAAAGCUUCAGACGAUGCUCGUUCAGAAUUUUUAUCAUUAUUCCGAAUCUCUAAGCUAGUCAAUGCUGUGCAAACAUCUUUAAAGACGAUCUCACUCUUCCCAUAUAUCAAAGUAGUCACAAAAUGGCUAUAUUCCUCUAGUAGUGAGUGUAACAGAAUCAUAGCCUUGACUUCAUCCUUAAUAUCUUCAUUAAGAUUCUUCAAAUCAGCAAGUAAAUUUUCAAAUCUUGAAAUAUGAUCGUGCAUUGACACCCUAGGCUUCAUUCGAAAACCAUAUACUUGGCUCAUUGCAUGAAGGCGAUUUUCAGGACUUUUCACCAGGUACUUCUCCUCCAAUGUACGCCACAAAGUCACCGCACACUCCUCAUCUUUCACCAAGUAUUUCACCUCCUUGGUCAAACAAGAUCUGAUCUGACCAUAUGUUUUUUCAUUCAUACGAUCAUAAAUUUCUUCAUUAUACAAGUGUCUUUUAUUUUUCAAAACAACAUCGAGAUCGAUUUGAAUAAGGGCAUCCAUAACUUCGUGCCUCCACAUGCCGAAGUUGAUUUUCCCAUCAAACUUUUCAACAUCGAUCUUCUGGCCUCCUACAACAGGUGCUGAAUAGCGAUUUGACAAAUCUCGCCUCCCACCUGAAGUGUCUCCUGAAAUAGUGUCGGUAGAUCUCUCCCUAAUUCUGGAAGUUUCACCUUCUACCAUUUUCUCAACGAACUAUUUCCACUUGAAAAACAGUCUCUAUGAUGUUAAUUUCGUGUGAAUAAAUGCACCAGGAAAGUUCCCAGGAAACUGGACGGGAACUCGAUCUUAAUUAAAAACUAGAAUCCUUAGACUCUUAUCGCCUUUUUUGACAGAACUUUCCUAGACAUGCAAAAAUACACACUACUUACAAUAGAUUGUCUCCCAAGUACAAAUGGCCGUCUCUACCGUAUUCAUGAAUAGUACCGUAUGUGAACAGUACCGUAUACGGGAAUAAUACCGUAUACGUGAACAGUACCAUAUCCCCCCAAGUACGAACCGUCGGCUCUGAUACCACUUGUUGUGAGUGAAAUGCGGAAUCAAGUGCACCAAAUAAUUACAGAAAAAUAAAGGACACAAGAAUUUACGUGGUUCGGUAAUUAAACCUACAUCCACGGAGGCAAGAAAGAAUAAUUGUUUAUUUAACAAUUAAUAUAGUACAAUAUUUGAGUAACGAAUCUCACUUCCCAGAAACCCAAAUAUACCCAGUACUCUCACACUCUACAAGAAAGAUAAAUUCCCCAGACACACUUCUCUCACUUCUCUUAAAAGCUUAGAAACUUAUAAGCUUAACAAUUUUGGGAUGAUUUCAAAUGAAUGAAAUCCUUAGCUAUUUAUAGGAGAAAUGAAUUACUAUGCUAAGAAUAAAAUAAUUAAAUUAUUAUUAUUUUUCAAAUCCAUCCCCCAUUCUUUCUUUUCAGCUUUACAAAAUCAACAAAUUGUUGGUGCAAUUUAUAGAAGAAAUGAAUUACUAUGCUAAGAAUAAAAUAAUUAAAAAUAUAAUUUUUAAUUAUUAUUAUUUUUCAAAUCCAUCCCCCAUUCUUUCUUUUCAGCUUUACAAAAUCAACAAAUUGUUGGUGCACCAACAAUUUGUUGACUUCAACAAAUUUGCACCAACAAUUUGUUGACUUCAACAAGAACUUGGUUUAUUCGACAUUUAAGAUUCUUGGCAAAGCUGCAUGGAGUGAAUUUUGGGAGCUUGAGAGUGAAAGAAGUUAGAGAAUGUAUUAGGAUUUGGGUUUAUUAGGAAGUUAUGUAUUUCAUUAUCAGUUUUUUUUUCUUUUGUAAAAAGUAAGGGUGGGCCAAAUCCAAAUAGUUUUUAUUUUCCUCUUCUCUCCCUUGAGGCUCGAACCGGGGUGGUAAUUAGCAGAGAAGUAUACGUGCCAAAAAUCUAACACAUGAAAAAAUACACAAUGAAAUUAUCUACAAUUUUCCAUUGACUUAGUCAACUCUUCAUUGAUUUCAUUGACUUGGUCAACUUAUAAUCUAACUUAACAACUUGAAAAUUAAAUUAUGCUAGUAAUUCUGUAAAAUUAAAAUUUAUCUCCACCAAAUGGUUGUGGCUCAGUUGGCGAUGCAUCUUGUUCAAACAUGCACUGAACAACGUUAUGUCUUCGUUAUCAUUUCAGAAGGAAACAAAUCAAAUGCAGCAAUUGAUGUAGGAGUUGCUGUUGGCGCUGCUAUAUUUUUUACGGACUCUCAUACCAUGGAAAAACUCAGCUUUAAAGAAUGGUAUGAUGCUUUGAUAUAUGAAGUAAUUGGUAUAUAUUUUGUACCUUCCAUACAUUUUGCUUUGUUAAUGUUAUUAUUUGAUAACAUGUUUGUCGAGUUGCACAGUGUCUAGAAUUUUGAGAUUAAGAAGAGUCUAAAUGCUAUACAAAUACACUCCUUUCAUUUUAUACAACUUUGAUUGAUCAAGUUGUAUCUCUUUGAUAAUAUGUUCUAUAUCCUUUCAUUUUAAACUUCAAUAGAGUUGCUAUCUAUUUAACUUUGGCAAGUCAGAGAGAGGACUGUCCAAUUAAAAUUAAGUUCCAAGUGCCAAUCCCACCAUUGUCGGCUCAUGUUUGCCAAAUUCAAAUUUGAAAAUCUCACCAAGUUAGUAUGAUGAUGUUGUGGGAUUGUCUCGCCUAAGUUUUUAGCCUCAUGACCUCCUUUAUUAGAAAAAGUCUUAAGUGUUCUUACUCAAUUAUAGAAUCAUAAUUUUACUUCAAUAGAAGCCAUAAUUAUUAAAAUAUAUUCUUUGGAUUAAUUACUUAUUUGAUGUUGCUCUCUCUACCUUCAUCUCCUUCUUUAUGAAAAAUUUAUUGUAAUACAUGGGAGUAUAUAUUGCAUUGAAUAAAAUGAAAUUCUUCAAAAAUUAACAAAUUCAGCUUUAUUAUAAUCUAAAACAAAGUAAAUAGAAUAAUACCCAUCAUGUAAAAAUAAAAAAUAAAAUUUUUUAUACCACUUGGAAUUUAUUUUAAAUGUUUUGGUCAAAUCUAAGAAGCCCAAACUUUGAACAAUGAUAAUAAGUAAAAACUAAUAAUCUUAUAAUAAAAAGUAAGAAAAAAAUAAAGUUGAUUUAGCAGCUAAGAAUAAAAAAAGAAAAAUAGAAAGAGAGAGAAAUUAGUUUAGGCUUUAACCAUGGUUAUAGUAGAGAAAAAAAAUUAAUUAAGAGUAAUUUUAUGACUUUUUAGAAAUGAGUGAAUUAAAAUAAUAAAUUAUAAUUUGAUAAUUAUCUUAAUUAAAAAAUGGGUGUUGAAAUAAAAUUAGUGAAUUUAAAUAGCCCGCCCAAAAUCCAAACUCACAUACCAAUAAUUUUCUAAUUUACAUAAAAUUUUUCUAUAUGUUUGAUAAAAUUUGAUUCGCAAUUGGUCUAAUGGAGAAACAACCAGCAAAAAAAUAAAAUGAAUGCAAUUACAUGGAAAUUUGAAAAGAGCAGUAGAUGACAUUUAUGUGCAAGCAAAAUGCAAAAUUGCAUUCUGUUUGUGGGAUCCUGGAAAAAAUAAAAGAAAGAAAACAGAGUAAGACGCUGAGACUGGGGGCUUUAAUAUUUUUCUAGAUGCUUCCAUGGCAGAUUCUCGUUGGUUCAUUUUUCUUUACGCCUUAGAUUCUAAUCAUUCUAUGAUUCAAUUUCAAUCAAAUACGACAAACAAAAGAAGCUUUUAAGCCUGCAGCUGAAAUAGAUGGCACUUUAAUUUUCAGCUGAGAAUCAAAUGAAAUAGAUGGUAAGAUUAUUAUUAUUGAGCUUGAUAACUGAUAAGGCUAUAGAAAAUUCAAUAUCCAGAUCGGAUAAGGAUCCAAUAAAUUAUAAAAUAUUGCGGCUCAAAGCCCAUAUGAUCAUGGGCCACCACUUGCUCAUGCUUUGAACCAAAAUUUUCUAAUGAAGUGAGGUUGGAAGCUAAAAGGGGCAAGUAAUGAAAUGGGGUUCAUCAUAUAUUGAGCCCAACGGGACAAGAUCAUCAUUUAAUUCCCUCCUCUUGUCGAUAGAUAUUUGCCGAAUUUUUUCAUUUAAAAAAUAUUAUAUUGGUUAAUAGAAUUUGAAGUUUUACAAAAUAUAAGUUUAAUUUUAAAAAAUUAUAUUUUCUAAUUUAAAAUUUUCAUUUGGUGGUUGUGUUUGAAAAAAUUUUUAGGUAUACUCGGACAUACUCUCUUAUUAUUCAUUGAAUUUGGGCAUUUAAACAUAUUAGUAUGCAGUAUUUUUAGGUAAUUAGCAGAGAAGUAUACGUGACAAAAAUAUAACAUGUGAAACAAUACACAAUGAAAUUAUCUACAAUUUUCCAUUGACUUAGUCAACUCUUCAUUAAUUUCAUUGACUUGAUCAACUCAUGAUCUAACUUGACAACUUAAAAAUUAAAUUAUGCUAGUAAUUCCGUAAAAUUAAAAUUUAUCUCUCAAAAUUGAUAAAUAUUGUGUCACUUUGUCAAAUUACUUAGGGUAAAAGCUCUGUGGCUAAAACCUUUUAAGAUUAGAUGUAUGCUAAUUGAGAAGGACAAGACACAAAACACAAAAGAAUCAAUGAAUGCCACAUCAUGUAACACUAACACUACUUACUCUUAACAAAUUCUUACAAACGUGAUUCAUGAAAUUAACUUGACCUUUUGUCUAAAAAAGGCCUAAAGAAACAUGCCAAGCAACAAAUAAAGUAGUCCAAACGUGAUUCAUGAAACUUGAUAGGCACUAUCUAAAUAGUAUUAAUAUGGCAACCAAAAACAUGCGCACAAAGUAGACUUUCUUGGACGAUCCAUGCCAAUCAGCAAAUAAAGUAGUCCAAACGUGAUUCGUGAAACUUGACUUCUUGUCUAAAAAGGCCUAAAGAAACAAGACCAAAAGUUCCAUGCAAUAGCAAUAUGGUGGCCACAAUGCACUUUUUAAGCCAUUUUUCAAAACUAAGUUUCUUCGUUUCACAUGCACUAUUCAAGCAAUUUAACAUUUUCUCCUUCCCCUGAAAGCUAUUGGAGAAAAAUUAGUUUCUUAAAUUUUAAUAAAAACUUUUAGAACCGAUCUCAUACAAUAGAUAAGAAUUCUUACUCUGGAAAUCAUACCUUGAAAAUCUGAGAAGAUGUACAAUCUUUGUUUUUUUUCCGUUGAACUGAUUUAGGCUCCCAGAUCACGAUUUGUCACCACCACACCUGUUAGAUCAUGAUCCGUCACCACCACGCCUGUUAGAUCACGAUCUGUCACCACCAUGCUUGUUAAAUCACGAUUUGUCACUAAAGAUCUUCCAAGUUAUGACUCAGAUUUGAUCUGCACUUGACGUGUGGGCACCUUUAUCACUACUAAAGCAACUAGCAAGAGAAAAUUUUUCUCUCAAAAUUAAAGAGAAAAAUUCUUUUUCUCUAAAUUGUAUAAUACGACUCUAUCUUUUUUCUUUAAAGAAAAUAAGUCUUUUUAUAUCUCCCUUUAGUGAAAACGCUACGCUCCAAAUAAUAAAAACCAAAAGUCAUUUUACUUGCUUUUUCUAUAGGGGGCCCACCUUAUUAAAUAACAUAAGGUCCCUUACACACAAGCAUAUUAAAUGGAGCCUCCCACUAAAUGAUAUAUUUAGAUUUUUUACCCAAAUAGCUAGUUAUCUUGCUUAUUAAUUUAGUAGUGGUGCAGUCAAUUAAAUGAGCUAACAUGUGGAUCAUUUGGAAACAUAUAAUAGUGGCUACAAUAAUUAGGCUUGUAAUUAAACUAACCCAAUCAUUUAAUUCUAAAUCUACUCCACUAAAAGAUUGGAACUGACCUCCAUAAUUGUAUACUCGAAUAAUAAUUCGUCCCAAACCACAUUGAUUUUUUUACUGCAUAAUCCUUUGUACCACAUCGUUAAUUAAAUCAAUAUCUCAAUUGUCCAAUCAAUUUAAUUAUAUCUUGUUCUUUGAUACUUACUAGUUUUCUCUAAUGAUCAUUUUCAGCAUACUAAAUAUGUUGACACACUCUGGCCAGAGAAUUUUAUGAUCAAGUGCCGAAAACCCAUUAAGAGAUGUAUUGUACAAAUUCUAUAUUGUUAAUCUAUAACUCCAAUACUCAUAAUUGCUCCCACCAAGAUACCGGGUAAUCUUGACUACAAGUGUGUGUCGUGCCCAUUGGUAACUGAAAUAAAAAUCAAUUACAAUCAUGAAAUUAUAACUAACUCAAGAUUAAAAUUAUAGUAAAAUCAAUGCCUAUGAGAUUUAAUAAGUCUGACAGUCAUUUCAAGGUUAAUUAAAUCUUAUAUGUGAUCCAAUUCAAUGUAGUCAAACUACAUCAGUAAAUUCAUGCAUGAUUAAGACAAAUCAUUCAAUGAAUUUACUACAGUCUAAACAUAAAUAGAACACUCAACUAUAUUUAUUAACUGCAAACUUAAUUUAUUUAAUUAUAAGAUAACUUGUAUUUAUGUCUUCUGUGAAUCCAUAUAAUAAUCACAUAAAUACAUAUAAUAUGAUUAAACAGAUCUUAUUCAAUAUAUUUAUGCAAUUGAAAAUAUCUCAAAUAUUUUAUUAAUCAGAAAAUUAAUUUACUUUAAAAGAUCACAUAAUCCCAACAAAAUUAAAUUGAUACUCAGCAAGACCACGUCACAAUGCAUCACUUUUGGAAAGUAAUUUAGCAAUUUCCAAUGCCUUAGCUGAUUAAUGGCUUGACCAUGUGACGAUUGGUCCACAUUAUGCACAUAGCAAGAUCAAAGAAAAUAUCACAGCUAGCUCGACGACUACUAGCCAAAAUAAGAAGACAAUGACGGCCAGUUACAAACUCUUUACGAAGGAAAUAUGAAUAUCCCUCCUAAUCACUUUCUUAUAUUAUCAUUAUUUUGUACAUAUAACAGAACACGUUCUCUCUUGUAAAGAAGUCAAGAAAACGGUUUUAGUUUUCAUAUCAAUAAUGGAAUCCAAAAUCUUUCACAGCUUGCUUCUCCUUUGGACGCUUGAAAGACUUUCUUACCUGGCUAAAACUGUGAAAAUUGUUCAAACUAAUUUGAUUGAAAACUUUCUGACACUAUAAUGUAUUAUGUAUAUGAAGGCUACAUUAAAAUGUGGAAUAAAAAUGAGUGCUUAUAUUAAAAAACAAUCAGUCUCAUUGCGUCCUCUUUCAUUGACAUAGGUAAUUUGCGGUCAACUCGUGGCACUCUUAUUGACACGCAAAGAACUUACAUGAGGAGUUGUUUGAUUUUAUGUUUCAAAUUAAGUACCAUAGCAUUACUACUUCUAUAAAUAACUCAUUUGAGCUUCGAGCCUGUUAUUUGUAUUUUACGUUUUUGUUUCUCUUCAUAAAGAUUUUUUUUUUCCAUUCUCUUUUUCUUCCACUUUCUCGACUCCCAAACACCACCAGUCUUUGAUUUUCCUAGAGUAUUAACUGUCCGUUUACACGAACAUAGACCGACUGUUUGUCUAAUUACUGUCAAGAAACAGCAUACUCUGUCUCGGGGUCUCUUCGUUUAUUGACUUCUCACUUGUGAACGGGCUUAUUAAAGGGCGUUCCUUCCUUCAAGAAAGAAUGCCAAGAAAGUACCAUCCAUUAGACACGUUAAGAAUUAUUUUACAUUAAAAAUGAUAAUAAUCAUAAUAAUCGGUUUAGUGCUACCCCGUUAUUAGGUCAUGAGUGUCCGAUUGUCUUCGCUUUCAUUGACUUCGCAACUGUGAAUUCUAAGCCGAGUUAAGGAUUGACAAAAUGUUAUAACCCAUAAAGCACGGAUAAUUAAUUAAUGGGCCACUGAUUUCUUCUUUAAAGGCUAAUUCUUGGGAAAGAUCAGAAAGUUCUCAAAUAAAAAUUCGGCUUUGUGGAAAUUAAAUUAAAAGCAAUUAAGCAUUAUAAAUUACUUAACAGCUUAAUCGAGUUUGGUUUUGAAAAAUAUAUCUUUAGAUCUCUUGUAAUUAAAGAUAAUUAUCAUAUUACCGUCUCAAAUGGACCGAUUUCAAUCAAAUGAAAUCUAGAAAAUUGAGCAGCUCAUUGAUGUAUUUGGUCGAACUUGUGUCAGAGUCUUCGUUUUAGAAGAGUGCACAGCAGCUGCCAGGUCCACUUGGCAGUUGGCACGCCAAAAAUUUUCUGUUGACCAAUAAUUUUGAAAGGGAUAUUAUUAAUUUACUAUCAAAUAUUUUCGAACACAUCACUUUACUAUCAAAAUUUUUUGACAAUAAUUUUUUGUCACUUAAUAUUUCAAUUUUUAUCAUUUUAUCAUCAAAAAAUAGUAAAUGCAUGCUUAGUGUAAGUUAUCCAUAAAAAUGGUUGUUGAAUUGUCUUGUUUCUCAUUUGGUUUAAUUUUCAUAAAUUCGACUCACACAAUUCAAUUAUGUGUGAAGAGUUUUUUUUGGGAAAAAUCUGGUCUUCCAUUUACUAGAAUCAGGUCUGAAUGAUUUUAUUAUUUUUCUUUUGUUUGAAAUAUACGUGGAAAAUGUUGAACACUUUGUAGGAUUUAGAAGAAUUUGAAAGUUUGAAUGCAUAUAGUUUACUAUCCAUCAGAUAAUGCAUAUUCUGUAUUUUAUGAAAUCAAAGCUGGUUGAUUGAGAAAUGGACCUUAUUACAUGUCAUAAGAUUUUACAGUGCUUUCUAAUGGAGCAAAAUAAAAUGAUUCUUACCUGGACAGAAAAUUAGAAACGAAAAGGAGGGUUACUGAUCCACAGAGUUGUUAUUUACGAGAAGCACAUAGAUAUUGCACUUAAUUUAUUAUCCAUCUGUAUUGUUUAGAUGACACUGAAGUAUUACCUAAAUUAGCCUUUCAAAACUUCAUUUUCAAAAAUCUAUGGUUGUGAUGCGUCUCUAUAAACUCACUCGUACAAAUUCUAUCUUUUAGUAUUUUUGUGUAUUUUUGUGCACGUACAAGUAGCAUUACAUGUCAUUAGCAAUUAGUCUAGAGUGUUCUGAUUUUUUCUAAUAAGUAGCAUUACAUGUCAUAAGAUUUUUUCUGAUUUUUUUUCACAUAUUCAAUUUCUCUUCCAUUUUCCCGACUCCCAAACACCACCUAUCCUCGGUUUUCUAGAGUAUCAGCUAUCUCUAUCUACAAACACAAAACUGCUAUUUACUUUCAAGAAACAACGUAUUCUGUGGCUUAUUGACGCGCACGGGGCUAAUUGUCUCCUCUUUCAUUGACUCUGUCAAUUCAUGACUUUGACGCGCACGGUAGCUGCUAACUGCCUUCGCCAUUGGACGUGCAAAACACUUUCUUGAGUCGGGUUAAAAUUAAUUGAUCAUUUUAUUUGGUGAUAAUGACUUAGUUGUCAAGUCAUGAGUUUGAUGAUGAGGAGGACGAAAAAUAUUAUUUUAUUAUUUAAAGUAAGACUAUCAAUUAUUUCCAGAGUGCUGAUAGAUGCCCCGGGUCAAACCCCGGGUCAAGCCCCGAAUCUUUAAUAAAACGACGCCGUUUUGUUAAUUUUUUGGGUCGUUUCAAUUUUUUUUUGAAACAACGUCGUUUUGCUUGAGCAUUCUAGCUCUGUAUCAAACUCAUCUUUCUCUUGUAAUAAAGAAACAGAAAAAACUCAUCUUUCUCUUUCGAUUUUUCACUUCACCACAUAACCCAACUACAUAACCCCAACUGCAAAAUCCCUCAAGCUGUUAUCUUCCUUCUGCAUAAACGAUCUUUCUCUUUCAGUCUUGUUAUGCCAAAACACUAGAAAGAAAUAUCAUGUACCUGCAGAAUUGAAUAAAUAAUUGAACAAGGGAGGCUGGCAGAUUUAGUUAAAGCGUGAUGUCCAAAGUGACAGUUCCACAUAUGGCAAACUUCCCAAAGGAUUGCUAGUUCCAUCCCAUUAUAAUUUGAAAACAAUGAUUAUGUAGUUGAAAACAGAUUUAGUUUUUAUAUAAUAUGUUGAGUCGAAAAUUGCAAUUUAUUACUUACAAUUACUAAUCUCUGUCACUGGUGGCAGUGGUGAUGGUAGUGGCGGUGGUUGGCUGUCGGUGGUGGUUGUUUCAGUGGCUGCGUACGCAUGGAUUCUGGAUUCUGGAUGGUGGAUUGAGGACUUUGAAUGGCUGUGCUGCACUUAAUCGAUAAAGAAAAGGGGCUUGGCAAAACGGUGUGUUUCAUUUUCGGGGUCUGACCUGGGAUUUGACCCGAGACAAACAUCAUUUUCCUUAUUUCCAUGGUCAUCUUAUUUUCUAAAAUAACUAAAUGGAAUCUUACAGAAUUAGAGUGCUUGACUUCUUCAUACAGUGCUUGACUUCUUUUUACAGAAUUAUAAAGUGAAAAAAGAAAUUAAGAAAUUAAAUACUUUUCAUGCGAGUGGAGAAGAUUGGGUAGCGAUUACAUUAAAUAAAUAAUAAUAAUUUAAAAGUACAGCACUUUAAUAAUCUGAUUCCCAAUCAUAUCGGUAUAAAAAAUUCUGUAGAUUUAUUGAAUAACUAUUGAUUUUACUUUUGUAAUUUCUUUCUAAAAGUAAGGUAAACAUUUUUAUUUUCUUUGCAUUCGAGCUUUCUUUCUUUUGCGCUGGCCUUCACACUCUUGACCGUAUUUCAUGGGGCACAUUCAAUCUCAAUCUUCUGCAAGUUUGUGGCAGUUUUUUUAAUUACGAACUUUUGUAGGAUUUUAUGGAGAUGAUACUUUUAUAUACAUUUUUCUUUUCUUUUUUUCUUCCGUGAACAAAUUAAAAAUUUAUUUUUUGUCAUCAUGACUAGUGAAGUAGUAGAAUUGAAUUACUUAUAAUUAAAAGAACUAAAAACAACUAAAAUUGGAAAUAACACUAAUUUUAUUAAUGAAAAUAAUUAUACAAAAUAUUAAAAACAUACCUGGAAAUCAAGAUUACAAGGAGAUGGAGAGAAUUUGAGAAGAAGAGAGUUGUAGAGAGAUGAUUAAAAUAUAAAAAUGAGGCUCUAUUUAUAGAAAAAUAAACUCAUAAUCCAGUGCUUUGCAGUCCAUCAUAGGCUUCAUGCAUGUGCUCCUCACAACCCUUAGAUCAAGAUCCAAUGGCUGGUCAAACUUCAAAAGUCAACAUCACACAUGGCAUCAUUUGACUCGUCCGAUUUGCCCAAAGAACGGUUGAGAUUUGGCGGGUUAAUGGGUGGAUCGGGUCGACCCGAAUACAAAGAUUCGGAUCCUCCAACUUGCUUCACCAACCAUUGCCACGUGGCACAAUCAUAGCCAUUGAAUCAUGAACAGUUGAGAUUUAGUCAAGAUUGUCAGUUAUCCCAUGCACUCAUAUCUAUUGUAAGCUCAUUUCAUCAUCCAAUCAGUGCUCGGUCAACAGGAAAAGUCAACUUUUUUUACGCAAGCCUAAUUUUAAGCCGAUCUUGACUGAUCUUAAGGUUUUCGGACCUCCGGAAUCCAAAUUUGACCUCCGUUUAUCUGUUUGGAGCCUCGAAGUACGUGAAAUUAAUAUUUUUCCUAAUAAACACAUAAAAAUACACAAAAUUAAAUAUAUUUAAAACAUAAUUAAUAAUUCAUAAUAUAUUACAUAAACACAAAUAUAAAUUAUAACAUAAGCAUAAAAUAACAUAUUAUCGCUUGAUAAUUAAACAAUUUUUAAUACUAAUCAACUCCAAAAGACACGUUAAUUUAGAGUCUUCAAAUAAGAUUUAUUUCCCACUCUUCAAUAUUGCCGAGUGAGUUUCUCACUCUUCUGUUAAUAUUUUAUUAUUAUUUAUUGAAAAGAUAAGACUGCAAUAAUUAUUAUUUAUGUUUCCUUUAAAAAACAUAACAGCAAUUCAAUUUGAUAGUAGGAAAGAUUUAAUUAAAAUAAUAUUAACUUAUUCUUAUUUGAUGAGUCUUUGGGAGGAGAUUAUAUUUUUCUAUACACUUAUUUGCCACAUCAGUAAGCAAAUUAAAAUUUGAAGAAUAAAAUCUUAAAAGUCUUUUGGAGAUGCUCUUAGUAGGCCGUUACAGAUGCCAUACUAGCAAGCGUGCUAUGACUGAUUGCUAUUUGCACGUAAAAUUUGCCCAAAACAAAUAGAAUGAGAAUACUUGUACGAAAGGACAAGAUUAAUAAAGUGAAUAAAUUUUACCUUUUAGUGAAUGCUUCUUGUCUUUUAGAGUUUUAGUGCAUUUUCGUGUGUAAUUUUAUGUGCAAAUAGCAUUACUCAUUAGUAAUUAGUCUAGAGUGUUCUAAUUUCUUCUAAUAAGUAGCUGAUUUGAGCUUAAGACUUGUAUUUUAAGUUUUUACUACUUUCUAAUAAAGAUUUUCUCUGUUCUUUUUUACUUUCACUUUCUCUUCCAUUUUCCCGACUCCCAAACACCACCAAUCCUUGAUUUUCUAGAGUACGGCUAUGCAGUUCUACAAACACGAAACUGCUGUUGGUCCAAUUACUUUCAAGAAACAACGUACUCUGUGGUUUAUUGACUUGUGACAUGGGCAAAUUAGUCACGGUCCGAUUCUCUCCUCUUCCACUGACUCUGUCAAUUCAUGACUUUGGCACACAGUAGAAGCCAGCUGCCUGCUCCAUUUGACGUGCAAAAAACUUUCUUGAGUCGGGCUAAAAUCGAUUAAUUAUUUUGUUUGGUGAUGAUGAGUUAGUUGUCAAUUCAUGAGUUUGAUGCAGUGAAACACUUAACGCUCUCUUGUGAUGAGUAGGAGAAAAGCCAGCGAUGAUGAAGAGGACUAAAAACAUUAUUUUGUUAUUUACAAUAAGGCUAUCAAUUAUAUAUUCCAAAAUAAUUGGGUUUGGAUGGUCAUUUUGUUUUCUAAAAUAUCCAAAUGGAAACAGAAUUUAUAAAGUGGGAAAAUCAAGAAAUUAAAUACUCUUCAUAUAGUGGAAGGAGAUUUGGUUGCCGUUAUACUAAAUAAAAGAAAAAUAAAGUAAAAUAACAAUACUUUAAUAAUCUCAUUCCCAAUCGUACCGGAAAUAAAAUUUUCUGUAUAUUUAUGAAAUAAUUACUGAUUGGUGCAAGAGAUUGGUGGGACUCAUUUGAUUCAAGAAAAACAAUCAGUCUCAUUUGAUACGCAAAGAGCUUUUCUACUCUGUAGCCAAUAUUUUGAUGAAUGUGACGUUACUGGUUUGUAUAAUUUGUUGGAUAUUAUCUCAAUUUUACUUCUGUAGGUUUGUGGUUUGUAUAUUAUCUCAAUUUUUAAAAAAAUGUAAUUGCAAUUAUCAAACACGACUAAUCCCAACAAUUUAUCCAAAAAAUUUUGUUUCAAGAAAUGUAGCAUUUAUGAUAGAAUGGCUAAUUUUUUCAAUCGACUUUCUGGACAAAUGAUAAUUUUUUGAUAGAAAUAUUACUUACUUAUUACAGGAAGAAAAUUAUAGAAUAAUUUUUUGAAUUAAUAGUAUUACUUUACGAUAACACUAUCACAAUAUAAUUUUUUUUAAAAAAUAAAGUUAUUCUUUAAAUUUCGCACUACUAUUCCUACUUUUCUUGUUAUACUACUUAAUGGCACUGGUGAAGCCUCGAAUUAUCAAACAAAAGGCAAAAAUAGUUCAAUAUCUGCUGUCCCACUGAGCAUUGUUAAAUUCAUACGAUAAAAUGAGUACUUAUAUUAAAAAAACAAUCGGUCUCAUUACGUGCUCUUUCAUUGACAUAGGCAAGUUGCGGUCAACUUAUGGCACUUUUAUGAAUUUUCAAGACUGGUGAAUUUUUCAAAUUUCAAAGAAAAAAAUACAGAAAUGUAAUUUCAAUUUAUCCAAAAAUUUGAGUUUCACGGAAUAUAGCAUUUGUUAUAUGUCAUGUUAACAUAGAGAAGAAAAUUUUAAAAACUUCUUUUUGGAUGAAUAAAAGUAUUUUCUGAUAAAUAUUUCGCAAUCAUAUUUAAAAAAUUUCACUCCUCUUGGUACAUAAUUUAAGAAUUUAACAUUAUAAAUUAAUCUUUUUAACCAAAGUAAUAAUCUCUCCUCGGGUCUGCAAAUGCUAAAAUUUAAUAUUAUAUCUGUUGAUGAUAUUUGCUCCAAAUUCACGAAAAUAAAAUUUCGAACAGAAUUAUGAAAUUCGUUACUAGAAAUUUGUAUAAAAGUUGUGAGAAUAGAAGGUUUGAUCAUAGGAAAUUAAUAUAUCCUUAUCCGAUGCAAAAAUGAUUGUAAAGAAAAACAAAAGUCACGGGCUUAUUUAGAAGAAAAGAAAAAAUUACAUUCCAUUUUCCAGUUAUUAAAGUAAUUCUAAAAUCGCUAGGAUCACAAAGGAUAGGCUUUCGUUGACUGAGGUCAGCCUUAACGCAUGCCGGUCUUUUUCUCCUCUACAUUCUUAAAAAUUUUGGUUUCACUAUAAAUACUCGGUAUAUAGCAAACUUAUAAGUGUUCUUGCAUUACCAAUCCAACUAAGCACACGCUUACAAUAUAAAUACUCUCAUCUCAUGGAAAGAGUUCAUUCUCUCAGGAUGAUGAGCAGAUUUCUCUUACUCCAUUGUUUGAUUCUUAUUUCCUUAUUUAUCGCGGCAGCAGCAGCCAACACAAGUUCUACUAUCACAGACCGAGAUGGUUUGUUAGCCCUGAAAGCUCACAUAACUCAUGAUCCGACCAAUUUCUUGGCUAAGAAUUGGAACACAAGUACUCCUGUCUGUAAUUGGACAGGUGUCGCUUGUGAUGUCCAUAGCCAUAGAGUCACAGUCUUGAAUAUUUCAAGCUUAAAUCUCACAGGCACCAUCCCUUCUCAACUUGGGAAUCUUUCUUCUCUGCAAUCACUCAAUCUCAGUUUUAAUCGACUUUCUGGUUCCAUUCCCUCCGCCAUCUUCACCAUGUAUACACUGAAAAAUGUUAGCUUCCAUGAAAAUCAGCUCUCUGGGCAAAUUCCUGCAAAUAUUUGCAGUAGUCUUCCUUUUCUUGAAUUUUUUUCUUUGUCCAAAAACAUGUUCCAUGGCGGAAUACCGUCCACUCUAUCAAAUUGCACAUAUUUAAGAAUCUUAAGUCUGGCAUACAAUGAUUUCUCGGGAGCCGUACCUAGAGAAAUCGGUAAUUCGACCAAACUUAAGAUAUUAUAUCUUGGCCGUAACAGACUCCAAGGUGCGCAUGAUCACGAAGUUUAAUUAUGAAAAUUGUUGCAUAAGUUGUAGUAUGAAUAAUGUUCCAUAAUACAGUUUACACACGUUGAUUAAUUUGCAGGAGAAAUUCCUCGAGAGUUUUGCAAUCUUACGGAAUUGGAGCAGAUGUCGUUGGCAGGCAACAAUCUCCAUGGCAUGAUUUUAAACUUUUUGCUAUUUUAUUUUAGCUAUGCUUGCUUCUGUAUUCAUUCGCUUGUUCUUUGAUUAUGCGAUGGUUUAUUGUUUUUCUUUCAGAUAGAGAUAAAGCUCCAUGUCUCCCCUCACUCAUUUCAUUCUUUAAAUUAUGCAGAUAAAAAAAAAAGAAUGUUCUGUAAUUUUCUUUUGUCAUAUUACCACUUCCAUUUUGAAGCUUCCAAUUAAGUCGAUGAAAAUAAAUGAUGUUUCAUUCUUAUUCUUGUCAGCCUAAUUCUUAUAUAAUUGAAGAGUAAAUUGUUAUUACGAUAUUCGUCGGCCAAUAAAUUCUUCUUUUUUUCCCCCAAAUAUGAGUGAUCAAAUUGUUUGCGCAUAUAUAAAUGUACUUAAUUUGCAGGAGGUAUUCCACGGGAAUUGGGGAAUCUUACAAAAUUGGAGAGGUUACAACUGUUCGAGAAUAACUUGACCGGUAACUUUCUUUACAAUAUAUGUACGAGACAUCUUCCGCUUUUUAUUAGAAAUUAUAAAUUCAAGUUAAAUCUUAAUUAAAAGAUUUCAAGUCUCUCAUUACAUAUUCUCACAUGAGGAUGUGUCGUUACCAUUAUCUAACAUUAUUCCGUUUUUUAUUAGAAAUUAGUUUGUGUUAAUUCGUGGAAUAAAUCGUCAAUCUUUCUUCUUUACUGAAUUUGGAUUUCUCAAAAAUUAUCUCAACAAGUAUGCCUCACUAAUGAUAUGCAUGUGUGACAACUUCAUAAAAUAUUUUACAUGAAAUCACUAAUUAUCUUUAAAUAAUCAGAUAUGCCAUCACUGAUACAUAAUGUCUUAACAAGCAUCAUACCAAAAGAAAUCAACAAUUUUAUUAAUCUUAAAGAGUUACAUCUUCACUGCAAUUAUAACAUAAAUUUUUAGUCAUAUCGCAUAAUAUUUUAUCUUAACGGAUGAUGUUCAGUCUUUGAAAAUAAGAAAUUGUUCAUGUGCUAAAAAGUUAACUUAGUAUUUAAAGUUUUCCAAUUGAAAAUUUUGAAAAAAGCGUUGAGAACUGGCGCUCCAUAGUAUUUCAGCGGAUAAAUAUGAAAAAUAGGCUAGAAGAAAUUAUUUUACUGAAAUAAGAGUUAAAAAGAGAGGAGAAGUACAGUAUUCAUGACUUCGGCUUUUUGUGUGUGCUUAUUCUACUUGGGCUUUGGGCUUGAUUACGCCCGUUAUAAUAAUAGGCUUUUACUUUCACCACCCAAUUAGGUUAUAGCAAUUUAUAUAUAAAUAACUAAAGCAUGCUUAAUGUCACGGGACGAGAGGUUUCGAACCCGUGCGGCACUCUCGCAUCCCAUACUACGAGAGUAAGCCUAGUGGAAAUGGCACAAUGUCGACUGGUUUCGCCCUGCCUUGGGUUCAUCAGGAGAACGGCUUCAGUUCCCAACCAGUGUGCGUCAGGAUUUUCUUAGACCCCUCUUCAGCAUUAAGUCCUCGACUAGCGACAAGCUCCCCAAACUCAACCGGGUCGGCCUGCCUGAACUCCAAAGAGUCUAGGGCAUUGUAUUCCCCACACACACAUUCCUGAAGCACAUCUCCAACAAUCAGCACAACCAUCAUCGACACUAGCGUACAAGCGCAUAUCUUGGGUGCCACGAUUGCGGUCCGUGACAUUAAGCUAGCAUUGAUGUACGGAUGAGUGGCGUCAAAAGUGUAUCUGUUUUUAUGUAUUAUUUAUUCUCUAAAACAUAUCUAAAUACAAUUCUUUCAAAAUACCGACGAAAUAGCACAUGAAAUCGGAAAUAUUUUAUUGCGAUGAGAAUUCGUAUAUUCAUUGUAGUAGAACAUAUAAAAUAGAGUAUAAAUUUAUUAUUCUUUGAAACAAACCUGAUUAUAAUUCCUUCAAAAUUAAGUUUGUCAUUAAAUGAUUUCUCAGGAGCCCUACCAAAAGAAAUCGGGAAUUUGACCAAACUCAAGCAUUUAUCUCUUGACCAUAACAGGCUCCAAGGUGCGCAUGAUUACAGAGUUUAAUUAUGAAAAUUGUUGCAUAAGUUGUAGUAUGAAUAAUGUUCCAUAAUACAGUUUACACACGAUGAUUAAUUUGCAGGCGAAAUUCCUCGAGAGUUUGGCAAUCUUGCCGAAUUGGAGCUGUUGUCGUUAUAUGAAAACAAACUCCAAGGUAUGAUUUUAAACUUUUUGCAAUUCUUAUAUUGUUGAAGAAUUAAUUGUUAUUAUGACAUUUUGAGAUUAAUUGUCAUAGGAGGAUGUGUUGUUAUUACUAUUUAACAUUAUCUCGUUUUUUAUUAGAAAUUAGUCUGUGUUUAUGCAAAAAAAUUUAGCUUCUAAAAAAAGUAUAAAAACACAUGGAAUAAAUCGAAAAUCUUUCUUCAUUACUGAAUUUGGAUUUCUCAAAAACUACCAUGAUAGUUAUGUUAGUGUCUUACUAAUGAUAUGCAUGUGUGACAGCUUCAUAAAUUAUUUUACAUGGAAAAUAUGAAAAAUAGACUUGAAAAAAAAUUAUUUUACUGAAAUAAUAGUUAAAAAGAGUGGAGAAAUACAAUACUCAUGACUUAGGCUUGCUGUGUACUUAUUUUGCUUGGGCUUCGGGCUUGAUUACACACGGUUGAACACUUACAUCCCCCGACAUAGGCUUUUAGGGAUGAGUGGCGUUAAAUGUUUAUCUACUUUUAUGUAUUAUUAUUCUUUGAAACAAAUCUGAUUAUAAUUCUUUUAAAAUACAGAUUAAAUAGCACGUGAAAUCGGAAAAUAUUUUACUGCGAUAAGAAUUCAUAUAUUCAUUGUACUAGCACAUAUAAAAUAGACUAUAAAUUUAUUUCCAAAAUACAUUCUUAUCUUCAUAUAAAUUUUACAUUAUUAAUUUAAAUUAAUAUUAAAAUAUGUUGUUUCUUUCACUAUGUUAUUUUAUUUACACAAUGAUGUGACUAUUGGAAUUAAUAAUACUUUUAAUUAUUUUGUAAAAAUAUAAAUUUAAUACUUUGUUAACAUUUUAUCUACAUAUAAUAAUUAAACUGAAACUUGUAUUUAAAAAAUUCUAGUUACGCAUAUUCAUUUCAUGACAUAAAGUGUAUAUUUAUGCUAAUUUACCAUUAUCAAAAAAAUGCUUUGAGACAAAUAAUCUAAUUUAUAUUUUUAUAUUUAAAAUACUUGCAUUUAUUAUAUUUUGAAAAAAAUUUAUUUGCAAUUAUUUUAAACCGUUGGAUUCAAAUUUUCAUUAUUAUUAAAGUCAAAUGGUAUAAAUGUAUAAUAGUCAAAAACAUAUUUGUAUGAUCAUUUUUCAAUGUAUAAAUUUUCUUAGUUAGUAGGAAAAUUAGAAAUUGUUGAUUUACUCAUAAAUAAAUUUAAUGUUUAGCAUUUCAAUUUUGGAAAAUUUGAGCUACACGUUGAUAACUUUGAAUCGGUCGAGCCGAGUUUCACUUCCUUGAUCCAUGGACCAAUUGAAAGUUCUAUUCGAACUGAGUUUCCUGGUGCUUAUAAAAAGCAUUUCUUUUCCUUAUCGCAGUAAUUUAUUCACAAAUGAGUUGAUUAGCAUCGAAGUUACCUGAGAGUCUGAGACUAUGUUAAUAGGAGAAAUUUGAAAAGAAAUUAUUUUACUGAACUAAUUUAUUUUAUCUUGCUGUAACUGAAAUACUACUUUUUUUUUGGGGCUAUCACUGGGGCUUGAUUUACUUUAAUAGUAGCAGCCACCGACUUAGUCAUUUUUUACUUCUCACCACACAAUUUGAUCUUUUAAUUCGUUUUAACCACAUAAUCUAUCUAUCUAUUUCUCACCUAUUGCUUACUUAAAACGCAUACAUAUUUUACCUACUAAUUUUUACAAAUAUUAAUCAAAUAUAUUUUAUUACGUUUCUCUCGUAACUGCUCCAAAUGUGUACAAUUAAUACUUAACCCUCCCUUUUAAUUUAUUGUGCAAUCUAUCUAUCACUUAAGUCACAUAUAUAUUUUACCUAUAUUUUACCCUAAAAAAUAUAAAAAUAAAAGAAAAAGAAUAUGUGUAGCAAUUUGCAUAUAACUAACAAAGCAUUGACGGUGUGUAGCCUUUCAAAACUUCACGACUAGCUUUUCUUGUGUGUUAGUACUUGUAAUAAUUGUGUAGUGUAUAAAUGACAUUUUAUUAUUAAAGUGUGUCCAUUUUUAGAUAUUACUUAUUAUUUGAAAAAUAAACUGAAUAUAAUCAUUUAAAAUACAGGGGAGAUACCACUUGAAAUCGGUAAUCUCCAAAAUCUGGAGGAGUUGGGCCUUGGUCAAAACAAAUUAAUUGGUACUGUCCCAGUUGCAAUCUUUAAUGUGUCAACACUCAAAUUUCUUGAGCUUCAAGAUAAUUCUCUCUCGGGAAGUCUUUCGUCCAUCGUAGAUGUCCGACUACCAAAUCUUGAAAAGCUUCUUUUGUGGGGUAAUAAUUUUAGUGGCACAAUUCCUCAUUUCAUCUUUAAUGCUUCUAAGCUCUCUAUACUAGAGUUAUCACAGAACUCAUUCGCCGAUUUUAUUCCCAACACAUUUGGCAACUUACGAAACCUUCAGCGGCUGAAAUUAUAUGAUAAUUAUUUGACAUCUUCAACUCCAGAGUUGAGCUUUCUAUUCUCGUUGUCAAAUUGCAAGUCUUUAACACAUCUUUCCUUAUCAAAUAAUCCACUAGAUGGCAUUCUUCCAAGGACGUCUGUCGGUAAUCUUUCUCAUUCUUUGAAAGAAUUUUACAUGUCCAAUUGUAAUGUUAGUGGCGGCAUCCCUGAAGAGAUCACCAACUUGACCAACUUGACAACCAUUUUUUUUGGGGGCAAUAAAUUGAAUGGAUCAAUUCCGAUUACUCUCGGAAAAUUACAGAAGCUUCAAGGUUUGGGUCUUGAAGAUAACAAAUUAGAAGGAUCAAUCCCAGACAAUAUUUGUCGUUUGACUGAACUGUAUGAGUUGGAGUUGGGUGGCAAUAAGCUUUCUGGAUCAAUCCCUGCAUGCUUCAAUAAUCUGGCUUCUCUGAGGAUACUGUCGUUGGGUUCCAAUGAGUUAAAUUCUAUUCCCUUAACUUUUUGGAACCUUAAGGAUAUCUUGCAACUCAAUUGUUCAUCAAAUUUUUUUACUGGCCCACUCCCAUCGGAGAUUGGAAAUUUGAAGGUUUUGGUUGGAAUUGAUUUUUCGAUGAAUAAUUUUUCAGGCGUUAUCCCAACAGAAAUUGGAGGCCUAAAAAAUCUAGAAUAUCUCUUCUUAGGAUAUAACAGAUUGCAAGGAUCAAUUCCUAAUUCAUUUGGUGACUUGAUAAGUUUGAAAUCCUUGAAUUUGUCUAAUAAUAAUCUCUCUGGAGUUAUUCCUGCAUCUUUAGAGAAACUCUCAUAUCUUGAAGAUCUAAAUCUUUCUUUCAACAAGCUGGAAGGAGAAAUUCCUACGGGAGGAUCUUUUGGAAACUUUUCAGCUGAAUCAUUUGAGGGAAAUGAAUUAUUAUGUGGUUCACCCAAUUUACAAGUCCCGCCAUGCAAAACUAGCAUCCACCGCACAUCAUGGAAAAAUUCUCUUCUCCUCGGGAUUGUCUUGCCAUUGAGUACUACAUUUAUGAUGGUAGUCAUUUUGUUGAUCCUAAGAUAUCGACAGAGAGGAAAACGGCCAUCGAAUGAUGCUAGUAUGCCACUAGUAGCAAUGUGGAGAACGUUUUCAUACCUAGAACUCUGUCAAGCAACAGACGAAUUCAGUGAAAACAAUCUAAUCGGCAAAGGGGGUUUUGGCUCUGUUUAUAAGGCGAGACUUGGGGAUGGGAUGGAGGUUGCAGUGAAAGUUUUCAAUUUGCAAUGUGGAAGAGCAUUGAAGAGUUUCAAUGUUGAAUGUGAAAUGAUGAAAAGUAUUCGUCAUCGAAACCUUAUCAAAGUUAUUAGCAGUUGUUCAAAUGAAGAGUUUAAAGCGUUGGUAUUAGAAUACAUGCCUCAUGGAAGUUUGGAGAAGUAUCUGUAUUCAAGU
rnacentral:lncRNA from 1 species